rnacentral:lncRNA from 1 species
CUCACUCCAGUCACCAUUGGCCAGGGAUUCCGAUUCCAGCUCCCAUCAUCUGAGUUUAAUCAUUUCUUUCCUUUUUUUUUCCUUGUUUUUUCAUCUCUUCUUUUUCAUUUGUUCUUUUUCCCUUCACAUUCUCAUCAUCUCUUCUCUAUUUUUCAUUCCCCCCUCCCCCUUCUCCGUUUUAUUUUUAUUCAAUUUUUGUCACCAUCUAUACUGUUUUUCUUGAUUUUUUCUUCUUUUUCUUUUAUUCAAUUUUUUCACCAUCUUGUUUUUUCCUCCUUUUCUUGUUUUCUUCUGUUCUUUUAAUUCAGUUUUUUUUAUCAUUUUUUCCCUUUUUCUGUUUUUCUCGUUUUCUUGAUUCUUUUUUCUUCUCUUUCUCACUUCUAGGACAUUUUUAGGUUAUAUUUAUCUUUUUUUUAGAGCUGUUAUGAGAUUUCCAUGUGUAUUAUUUCAUGGAAUAUAUUUUUAAUUUUUUUAUAUUUGUUUUAUUAGUUUAUAUUAUUUAUUAUUCUUUUGAAUUUUUCUACAUGUUAUAUAUUCUUUUUAAUUCAUAUUGUGGAUUUUUGGCUUUUCGCCAUGGACUGCCAUCCGCAAUUUAUAAUUUUUUGGUUGUAUAUGAAUUGUUGUGCAUAUAUCCAUCUGGUAAUCAAUUUAUUGUUGAACUAUCUUAAUUUUAUGGCUUUAACUCCUAAUUUCAAAAGAUAAUAUAUAUAUAUAUAUAUACUUAUAACUUGAUUUAAAGAUUAAUGAAUUAGAUUUUAGUAAUUCAUAAUUUAAUAUAAAUGUGGAUGUGUUUUAUUAUAAUCUGAAGCGUUGACUUAAUCCUUGGUUUUAACUUUUCACAUUGUCUUUGCAUUUUAAAAUAGCCAAAAUCUUAAUUUUAUUGACUUAAUUCCUGUAAAAAUGUUUGCUAUUGACAAUGUGUUCAUACUAUACUGUCCUUUCUGUUUUGAGUGAACCGUGGUUUGCUUAUGUUUUGUGCUUGUGAAUUUAUGUCCCGAAUCCUUAUACAUUCAAAACUUAUAUUCCCUUUAAUCUUUUUUAUAAGAUCCAUUUAACUAAUUUAUAAGAAUUAAGAAUUAAGGAUAACAUUAAAUAUGUUUAAUAUUUAUAUUUUUUGGGAUAUACUAUCUUUUUAGUCCUUAAACUUUUUAAAUUUUUUUUGUUUUUAAUCCCUAAAUUUAUUUUAUCUGCUUGUAGUCCUUAACUUUUGUUUUUUUUACUUUUAAUCCCUUGAGAGGACUAAAAGUAAGGAUAGAAAAAAGUUAAAAAACUAAAAAGUUAAGGGACUAAAUAUAAAAGAAAAUUAGGGACUAAAAACAUAAAUUUUAAAAAGUGUAUGGACUAAAAAGUUAAUUUAUCUUUUUUUUUUCUUUCAAAAUUACUCUUAAUAUUAAUGAAACGAAUAAAAACAUUAAUGGAUACUGAUCUAAUUGUUUGUCAAUAUAACCUUUCACUGCCAUGAUUUUUAUUAAGAGUAUUUCUGUAAAAAAUAAUUCUUAUAAAAAGGAUCAAACACCACUUUUUACUUUUAACUUGGGUAGAGGAUCCGGAGGGAGCAUAAAUAAUAUGGCAUGAGCAUAAAGACAUGAAUAAAACUUUGAAACCGUAGAUGAUGGCUGCUGAAAAAGGUUUUAUGUAUUUAUUUAUUGAUAUAUAUUUUAGGCUUAAAGAUGGUUUUGGUCACGGAAAAUAUGAUGGUUUUUAGUUUUAAUUAUAUAAAAAAUGCUGUUUUAAUCUCUACAUUUAACAAAAAUAUGGUGUCACUCGUCAAGAAUUAAAAGUACCUAACUUAUAAUUUGAAGACCUAAAAAUAAAUAAAAUUUUAAUAAAAGAUUAAAACAAAAAAGCCAUAUUUUAUAUGAGCCUCUGGUUUUCAUCUCUGCAGGUGGCAUGUUGGACCAGCCAUAUUGGUGUGCCUUCGUGCUUGAAGUGGGCCCCUCGCAGGGCCAUGUUCGCUGCUGCUUCAAGUGUUCUCACAUUUUGGAUACCCAAUAAUGAUUCAAAGCUGGAAACCCAGUAUGGUGGCACAGAUGCUGAAGCUGGACCUUAACCCUAACCACUUCUCCAUUAUAACUGAAUAUGCUGUUCCUCUCCCAGCCCAUCUACAAUUUUGUUUUGUUGUUGUAUCAAGAAACUAACUAACGCGUUGUGAAUUUGGUAAGCUAUACAUAGUUUUGAUACAUUUCAUGAAAAUUUUGAUGAUGCUCCAAGGAUGUUGUCAAUUGUAAAUCCCAUCACCAAAUGCAAUUUAUUUUAAAGUUUUAGCUACAUUGAGAAUGUUCUUUAUUGGUUAGACAAUAUUUUUCCCCGCUAGUAAUACUAGGGUCUUACACAUGUUAAAGACGUUUUAACAAGCUCACGUCCACAUUUUGUCAGAUAGUGUCGCUUUUUUACUAACGGGAGAGUUAAACAAAUUUUAAACUAUUUUAACCCACACAGCGGAGGUAUCUUGCGUCAAAGGCCUUUUUGAGUUUUGACUAUGGGUUUCUUUCCAGAAGGAUUUCUAGGAAUAAUUAAAAAUGAAAUGAAUUUUUCAUAAGAAAAUUUUCAUAUUUUUACUUAUUGUAAAAGCUCUUGUAUAAUAAUUUCUCUAAAAGAUGAAAAAAAAAAUUAGAACUUAGUUUGUGCAUAAGUUCAAAUUAACUUACGAAAAAAAAUCAUUUUAUUUCUUUUUCUUAGUUCUUCUAGAAAAAUUUACCCUAAUCAGACCCUAUAUAUUAACUGUUGUCAUUGAAGAACAAACGAAGCAAAUCUUUCCUAUUAGAUUUUUUGCAGCUCAAAGCUUCCUUUUGCUGAAAAAUGCUAUUGGCUGAUGUUAAUGGCGCAUCUUAGUUUGGAACUUGGUUAGUGAGUGCUGUACUGUUGAUAAAAUUUCAUGCUAGGUAAAAUCUGCUGCUAGUAAUUUGAUUUUCAAUAUGAUAAAAGAAUCUUCAACAAAGCACAGUUUAAAUUUCACCCUUGGUUUUGUUGCUUAAAACUUUGAUCAUCGGACGAGAAAGAUAGUAAUUUUACACAUAACCAACGCAAAACACAUUUGACAUUGAAUUCAACAAUGGAAGUGAACAAAUACAAAACACAUUGAUUUCCAGCAUCCAUAUACACUACAGAGUGGUAGUACCCCUUUUUUUGAGACACGAACGAACGUCCCUACUACUUAAUAACCAAAGCUAGACAACAAAACAAAACACACAAACCUACAUAGGCAAGAGGUACAUACAUCAUUUAUUUAAUUUCCCCAUAUAAACCACAUCACAACAACACAUUAAUGCUCCCUCUAAUAUCAGAAUUACUCAUCAUGCGGUUGCGGUUGUUGCUGUCACUGUUGUUCUCUUUACAUCCCUUGCCUCCACCUUUGCAUCCCUUGCAGCAGCUUCCCUUGCAUCCCUUGCAGCUGCCUCCCUUGCAUCCCUUGCAGCUGCCUCCCUUGUAUCCUGUGCCUUGCUCUGAAUAUCCUGCCCAACCUCCUUGGUCUUCUGCCCCACUUCCUUCGUCUUCUGCCCCACGUACUCCGCCGCCUCGGCGAGGUGAUGCUUCGCGGCGGCGGCGAGGUUCUCCGAGGCUGGCUGGGUCUCCCGGAUGUAGUUCAGGAUCCAGGAGAAGGAAGACAGCGCCGUGAGCCCGAAGGCCCCCGACGUCAGGAACCCGGCCACGGCCAGGCCGAUGGCGACCGUGGCUGGAACCAGCACCGGGCUGAAGAGGACGAAGAGCGGCGUGGCAACUGCCAGUCCGGUGAGGGUUCCUGCCAGGGUCAAUCCCGCCAGGAGGAGCAGGAUGCCACCGACCGGGAGGCCGGCGAGGACGGCGAGGACCUGGGAAGUCGUUGGACCUCUCUCGGAAUGGUAAAUGGAGGGCGCUUUGACGCCGGCUUCAUAACGCGGCGGUUCGAAACGGGCUCCGGGGGGGACGACGCCAGCUUCGUAGCGGUGUGUUGUUGUGUGGACUUGGACACUGUGUGGUGGUACUUGUGUGGUCAUGGUUGAAGGUGAAGUUUAGGGUUUUGCAAUGAAGAUGAUGAUGCAACAGUGCUGCAAGUGAAGGAAUUGUUAGUGGGGUGUGUGUUAGAGAGGGAGAGUGUGACGGGGGUGUUGUUAUAUAGCAAAAGUGGAGUUGUUGGGUGAUGACACGUACAUGAUACAUGGUGAGUAGGGGCUUUGCAUGAGGAACAGGUUUCAGUUUGCCCUCGGUUUAGUACAUCAGAAAAAUUAAAGUGGGGUACAUAAAUUAUGACAGACAAAUGAGAAUAAUAUACUUUUUAACAUUUUUAUUAAGGACAGUUGGGAUACAGUUUCGCAGGUGGUGUUGGUGGUAUUUUUCAUCAUAAUUGGAGUUUUACUUCACAAAAUCUGCAUUAGCAUUUAAUGAAAUUAGUUUGUAACCCGUGCAUCGUUUGUAAAUUUUUUUGCAUAUAUAUUUAUUUGUUUUGUAAAGUAAAAAUAAAAUGAAAAUUAAUGUGCAAAUUAAAAUAGAUUAAACAUUGAUAAUAUAUUUACAUAGUAAAUAAAUUGUUCAGAAAAGCAAGAAAGAUAAACACUAUUAUCAAGAAGUAUCAGUUUAACAUUCCAAAUUUAUUCACUGUCAUUGUCAUCCCAGUCUUUCCUGCGGCGGCGGAUGAUAAUUUUCCAUAUUUUAUCAUGUCUGUAAUAGAAGGAAACCUCAUCGUCGUGGGAGAAAUCACUGUCGGCAAGGAAUUGAUACCAUGGUUGUAUAACAUAUCUGUGACCAAUUCCAAUGUCAAGGAGCACAACAUUCCACUGCAGUGGAGGUCCAAAUUUUCUAAGGAUUGUCAUGUGUUGGCCGCAGGCAUUAACAUGUGUAAUGACACAAUUUGGAAGUCUCUGCAAUGAAAAAAAAAUAGUCUUAUAUAUAAACAAGAAUUUGUAUAAGGAACAAAGAACAACUUUUGAUGGUUACCAGCGGUUGGGGUGCACCAAGCAUCGACUGGGUGAUUUCAAUUGUCCAAAUAUGCUCUCUUGAGAUCAUUCGUGGUCUUCUGCAGGUCUGGUGCUCUCUUGAGAUCAUUCGUGGUCUUCUGCAGGUCUGGUGCACCAAGAAGUGAAUGGUGAUAGAUUCAUAAAUUGCUAAAUCUUUUCUGAACUGGUUUAGUCCCUCAGCAAAGUAUACUUUUUGCCGAUGCUGUCUUAGUCUAAUUUGGUAUGAUGUUCCAUCAUAUCUGAAAUGGACAAAGUCAGGGUAUUCUGGUGCCCAUUGUUGGUGGUAAAAAGAAGGCACCACUAUGGUGUCCUGCAAAAAAACAUAGUAAUAAAAAGAAAAUGAAACUGCACGAAUGAAAGAACAAAAAAAACCAAAGAGUGGGCAUAUAAGAUUACCCAAUUGUUGUGGAAUGGUGUUGUGAACUGCAUGAUUAAUGGUUUUUUGUUAACCAGAUAUUGAAUCUGCAGUGAGAUAGAAUGGAAAAAAUAAGAUAAAAUAUGGUACUGAAAGAUAAUAUUUUAAAAUAUAUGGACAAUGACAACAACAUAAUAAAAUCAAUGAAUGUAUCAUGCCAUGAAGUGUAUUAUGCAAUUAAUGUUGAGAGUGAUAGUCAUGGUUAAGUUUGCAGGUUUUAUAAAGUGUAUUCUGCAAAUAAAGAUUGAGAUGUACACAGGCUGUUGGGAUGAAGUGGCAUUCAGUUGGAAUGUAGGUUUAAGAAUCAAAACAAAAAAGCUAUGGCAAAGUUUUGGGAUUGUUUUGGUUUGGGACAAAGCAACAAUCUUAAAAUUUGCUGCCCUAUGUCUGUUUUUUGGUUUGGUUACAUGUUAGAUUUCUCAUAUGAUAAAAUAGAGUAGGAACAAUUAUUUUCUUUUCUAACAGAAGCCAUCCCAGACAACUAAUACUUCGUAGAUUAGUUAAUGGUUAAAUUAAGUUAGUGAUUGGUUUGAGAGUAGUUUUUUAUGCUGGUAUUGUGAAGUAGGAACUUCAGUCCAACCAAUAUUUCUACUAUCCUGUUAUUCAUAGAGUGAUGAACUAUUGUAUAAACUUUUGCACACUGCCAUUUUUGAUUCUCCUAAAACUCUCGUUAUUCCUAUUCUGUAUAUUAUAGGUAUGAAGUAGGAACUUCAGUCGAGUCAAUAUAUCAAGUUUUGUCAUACUUCUAUCACAUAUGAUUUGUGCUGCAAGUAAAAAUUUUUGGUCUAGAAUUACAAUGUGCAAUUAUUUAUUAAGAUGACAAAUCAAUAUAGAUCCAAAUGUGGAAGUCAAGCAACAUGAUUGUCAAAAUCAUAAGCUACACCUAAUAGGACAAAUCCCUAAAAAACAAUACCUAGGAUGAAGCAGUUCUGAACUCAAUUUUGUUCCCUUUGGUCAAUAUAGCCAUUUUAUUCGGUGAUAAAAAACAUAAAUUGAUUAGUCUCAAAUUUAUAGUUUAGAUAAAUUAAAUUCAUUUUUGCCCUAAACGAAAGGGAACUCUAAUUAAUUUAUAUAUGGCUAUAUCAGUUCUUCAAUAUCAGUUAUUAAUAAAUUGUAAAAAAAUAAUGCAAUGUGGAUUUAAUGUUGGGGAUUCUAGUAGGUGUAUAUUUUAUCUAAUUUCUAUCCAUCAGUGGCAUAUUGCAAAUUAGAACCGAUUUUAUAGUACUAUAUUGCAGAUUAAUAUCAAUAAACAGAAGAAACAAAAAAUAAUUCCCUAUUUUUUGUAUGGCAGUCAAAGGAUAACAAAACAAAAUUUUCAGUGCUUAUUCAUAUGUUGUUUGUUGUUUAAUUCUAAAGUCAAAGUUAAUAAUAUCAAUCAGUCAAAAUGUAUCCGUGCAUGCAUUGAAAAAAUUAACUAACGAAGAAGUUUUGGUUUGAUGUAUAGAACAAAAUAGUAGGAGAGAAAGAAAACCUAAGUAUGUACUGACAAAAGAAACGCAUAACUUUGGGAAUCCGGAUGAUGAGUUUCAUCACAGUACCAUAUUUACACUUAAAAUUUUAACAAAACAAAGUAAAAUAUAGUUAACGGAAUUUGAAUAUAUAUUCUAAAUAAUUUUAGACUUGCCUUGCUUAAAACAGAUGAUGAGUUUGAACUCAUGGUUGUCUCACUUGAACUGGAUGAUGAGUCUGAACUCAUGCUGGCAGUCGUCUGAGUAUUGUUUUUUUUCGAAAACGAAGGAGGAGUAGAUGGCCGGAGAAGAAACGCUGUUUGGAGAAGAAGUGUCGGACUGAUGCAGUGGUUGGUGAAAACGUGUAGCUGGUGGCAUAUGAAUGAAUUUGGGAAUUAUAGAGCAUUGAAUGAUGGCUUAGAAGAUUGGACGUAGAGAGUGAUUUGAAUCAUCAUGAAUGUAUCUCUGGUGUUGCAGGCAGUUGAAGUGUCUUUUUUUGUUGUUGAAUGUCACAACCAAUAUUGAUAUUUAUAAAAAUGCAGGGAAAAAUGUAUCACAAAAAAUCAUCAUAAUUAUUUAUUUGCCAGAACAUAUAUUCAACAUUAAUGGUCUCAGCAAAGCAAUUAUACAUAUUCUAAAUAUAUAAUUUCAGAAGAAAUUUUUUUCAUGAAUAAUCAAUUUUUUUUUACAAAAUUAGUUGAUUGUUUAACUAUAUAUACACAUAUAUAUAUAUACAUAUAUAUAUAUAUAUAUAUAUAUAUAUAUAUAUAUGUAUGUAUGUAUGUAUGUAUGUAUGUAUGUAUGUAUGUAUAUCAAUGUUUUAAAAUAUUCGUGUGAGCUGCCGUUGAUUAUAAUAUUUUUUUUAUCAAUGCAUGUUAGGGGCAAAACAAAAAACUAAUUAGUGUUACUUAAAAUGAACGAAUUAGUAUUACAAGUAAUAAGAUUUUUUAACGAUGGGCAUUAAUCAACGUUGCACGUUUGGUAGUGCAAGAUUAAUGUUUGUUGUGCUUAAUAAUUUAUGUGGGGAUAAAAAAGAAAUUAUUUGUCAUUAAUUUUAUGGAUUAGAGGCAAUACAUAUAUGAAUAUAAAGUAGUUGAUUUGAGCAAAGUUUAAGAAUUUAUAAGUGGUCCACUAUGUAUCUUUAAAAUCAAGCAAAAUAGAUGCAAUUCAUAAGUUGAAUCCAGUAGUAUAAAUUGCAAUAGAAAGAUUUUAAUGUAGAAGAUGAUAUUAUGUACCUCAUAAUAUAACAUUUGACACUGGCUCAUAUGAUCCUGUAUCUAGCUGCAUAUCAGAGCAUUUUUGAGUAAUUGUUAAAUAAAGUAUUAUUAGGAAUACAAACUAACAAUUGUGUUAGGGAAAAAAUUAUAUUAACCUUGUUAGAUUAUUGAAGACCUCUUUGAAAACUACAUUGGUGGUAGAAGUCAUAUUUGUUUGGUCUUUAUCAUGGAUCAAAAUUUUUAAGCCUUUCUUUGUUUUGACCCUUGAUAAUGCAACAUAUAAUUGACCAUGGCUAAAAACUAGUUUUGGAAAAUAAAGUCCAACUGUGGACAGUGAUUGUCCUUGAGAUUUGUUAAUUGUCAUUGCAUAAGACAACAUGAUUGGAAAUUGUCUUCUUAAAAGUUUAAAAGGCCAUGGUGAUUGUGGAGGGGACAUGGACAUUCUUGGAAUGUAAACCAUAUGGCCUGAAUUUUUGCCAGAAAUGAUUUCAGCCGCAAUUACAUGCUUUGCCAAUCUUGUAAUUAUUAAUCUAGUGCCAUUACCCAAGCCUUGAGUUUGGUCUAAGUUCCUUAAAAGCAUUAUAGGAGUUACUAUUUUAAGCUUGAUACAAUGAUUUGGCAGGCCAGAUGUCAUCAAUGAAUUAAGGAAUUAAGUAGUUAUUGUUUGAAAAUGACAGCUUUCAAUGGUUUUUGAUUUGUCUAUAGAGUCAAACCUUAGGUAUUCCAUGUGUUCAACUAUGAUAAUUUUUGUAAUUAGUAUGACAGUUGUAAAGUUAAAGAUCUCUCCAAAAUAGCAGAAACAUUAAAUAGAUAAUAAUAUUUAAAAAUUGGUAAUUAAGCAGGGCUAAUUUAGAUAGAUGUAAUACCAAUUACAUUAGUGAUUCUAUGAUUACCUGGGAUUAAUGAUAGUAUAUAAUCAUUGACCUGUUCAACUGUUUCGUUGGUUGAAGCUAAUAUUGCCCUACUGUUGAAGAAUUGAGGAUCAUUGUGAUGCUGAGAUAAAUCUGGGAACGUUGAGUUAACUAUGGCAUGGAUUGGAUCAUCAUAUUCAAUUAUCAACAGGUCCUCAGGGAUUUCAAUUGUGGAAUAGCCAUCAUUUUCAUGUCCAAUAAUUCUAUCUCCAAUGUCUAGGAUCCACUUAGCAAAUGCGACAGUUUCUUGUUCAUCUGGUGAUUGUACAUUGUUCUGCAAACACAUGUUUUUUGUCAAUCUUAAGACCUGACAACAAUCCCAUAAAUAAGAGGAAUUGAUUGAGCGACUUCCCCUUGGAAUGACUGACAAUAUUUGUCGGAAGUCCCCACCAAAUACCAUGACUUUACCUCCAAAUAUUUGAUUUGAACUGGGUUUAGUUUUACUUAUAUCUCUUAAACAUUGGUCAAGCGCUUCAAAACAAAAUUUGUGAGCCAUUGGUGCUUCAUCCCAAAUAAUUAGGCUUGUUUGAUUUAGCAAUUCAGUUAAUUCACUUCCUUGAUGAAUGUUGCAUGUUGAGUCUUUAAAAAUGGGUACAGGUAUUUUGAAUUUUGAAUGUGCAGUCCUGCUGCCUGGCAACAAUAGAGAAGCUAUGCCGUUGGAAGCAACUAUAAUAACAAUUUGAUUGUUUGCUCUCAAUGAAGUUUCCAAUGUUCUCCAUAUGAAGGUUUUUCUUGUACCUCCAAAUCCAUAUAGGAAAAACAUGCCACCUUGAUUUUUGUUGACGACUUCAAUGAUUUGGUUAUAAAUUGAUGUUUGUUCAUCUAUAAAUAUGUAUUAGCUUAUGUAAGACACAAAAGAAGAACAAUUCAAAUUCAAAUUGGAAAGGUAUAGCACCUAUUAUGGAUGAAAAAAGUUGCAGAAAUUCUGAUCUAGUCUCAUCAUUGUUGUAAUUUAGCUAUGCUAAUAUCAGGCUAUUGUCUAGAUAGGACGUGAAGUAAGCAUCCUCAGGAUAUGGCAUUAAAGGAUAGUCUUUAAGUGAUUUUUGGUUUACAUGCAGCAGGUGUUCAAUCUCGAGCAAUGCCAAAUUACUCAGAUGAUUGUCAUCGAUAUGUAAUUCUAACACAUUAGACGUUAUUAGUCAAAUUAUGAUUAUGGUUGAUGCCAUCUAAUGUAAAUAUUAAUCAAACAAAACGAACUUGUAUUUAUUGUUGAUUUGCUAUAAUGAUAUGCAAUGCCAUCAGCUAACCAAUGCCAAGUUUGGUUCCAAACUUCUUCAGGAUUAUUGAUGGCACCUGUUAAAAGCAUCAACACAAAUAAUUUCCUCAAAUAAUUAGUUGUGCCCCAGUCCUUUUCCUCUUUGGUUGCUUCAACGAAUUCUCUGUCAUCUUGUAAAAACCCCAUGGCAAAGCAUGCUUCUCUGUAUGUAGGGUAUUGAAUAUUUGUAACAGUUCUAAUAUCCUCAAAUGAAGUUGUUUCCUUGCAGGCAGUAAGCAUCAUCCUCAAAUAAAACAAUUCUCUUGUCAUUGGUGGGACCCAUAUAAGCCUUCCAAUAGUGUAUCCUUUCUUUCUAAGGUGCCAUGAUCUAGUCUUUUGAUUAUAUACAAACUUUGAAACGAAUUCUGAAUAAGUCAGAGUUCUUCCUUCUGAAAAACAUUUGUUGGUGUUAGUCGUCUUUUACAACUAACUUUUGUAUGGAAAAGUUUUCCAAAAUGUAUAUAUUUUCCCCAAUUUAUGGUUCUUUUUGUAGGAUUGUAAAUAAUUCUUGUUUAGUUUUUAUUUUUGCUAAGUAGAGACCUUCCUCAUGGAAUUAAUGUAAAUUUCACUUCAAUUUUAGGUAAAAAAGAGAAAUUUUGGAAAGUGCUGAAGUUCCUGUCUCGCUAAGCCUGGUCCAUGCGCUUAGCGAGAUUCAUCCGCUAAGUGGGACAUCAGCCCGCUUAGCGAGUAAGAGGAAUCUUGGAGAGAAUUUGCCUCGUCAGCAUGUGCUCAGCGCGUCACCAAGUAACCCAACGAUAUUUUUGUCUCUUCUUGCGCUAAGCGCGCCAGGCUCACUGAGCCAAAAUUUACAUACUCACGCUAAGCAUGAAAGUGGAGCUAAGCGCACCUUCGAGGACAUAAAACCCUUUUUAAGCAUGAAGUGAAGAAAAAGAAAGGGGGUCUGAAUAGACUGAGAGCUUGGCAGAAGAACAAAAGCGAAAAGCAGAGUAAGGAAGCAAAAACCUUAGCUUUUAGGAGAAUUUUAGGUUUAGGAGUAAUUUCUAGGUUUCUAGAGGUAGAGGAGAAAUCCCCACUACUUUGUAAUCUGAUAUUUUCUCUAAAACCCUUCUCCUGCUUGUGAAAGGUGCUCCCUUGUAAUGGAGGCGUAAAAUUCUUUGUUGGGAAAUUCUGCUAAGUACUUGAUGUAAAUACUUAUCAUAUCUAUUUGAAGUUGUUUUUAUGUGUUCGUUGUUUUUAUCCAUGCUUAAUUAUCGCAUGCUUGUGGCUUGAUCACCCAUUUGUAUGUGCUGUUAGGAGCUUUAGCAUUGGAAAAUGUAUUGCAUCCUUAGAACUGGAUAGAACAGGGCUAGGUUAUCGUAUAAUCUGGACACGGAGUGUGGUAAUUUAAUUUUUAUUAUGCUGUAGUCGUAACACUGUUCGGUUAGGCUAAGUUCAAUAAGAGACAUCUGAGAAUGAAGCUUAAUUAGAAUUAGUCCAAACUCACGAGACAUCGGUGUUUGGUAUUUUAGCUCUCAGCAAAGAACACAAAAAAUAAAUUUGAAUAGAGAAAUACAUUUAAUUACAUUAAGUAUCUCAAUAGGAGGACCCAACGCUUUUACAUAUCUGUUUUCACAUCCACUUGCUCAUAUUUACUGUUUUCAAUUAGAAUAGAAAUCACUUUUGUUUUUAAUUCAUGAUAAUCAAUUCUUUGCACAAAUGUCUGCCUAUUGAAUGAUGCUUUGCCAAAUAAAACAAGUUCCCUGAGUUCGAUACUCGGUUCUUACCAUUUUAUUAUUACUUGCACGACUCGGUACACUUGCCGGUGAGAUUUACGUAUCCAUAUUAACAAGUAACACCGGGGUGUAAACAAGUUUUUGGUGCCAUUGCCAGGGAACUUCUUUCUAUUUGGAAAGUUUAGUUUAAUUGGUAAGCAUUGAUUCUUUAUUCUUUGAUUGUUUGUUAGUGUGAAUAUUUAGUUAGUUUUUCAACAUUUGUUUUCUCUUGGAUUGGUUAACUACUGUUUCUGUUAGUGUUUUGUAUUCGUAGAUCCUCUGCAGGUGAAUUGGUCCCAUUAGAUUUGGAAAUUGAAGCAGCUUGCAGAAGAAACAACGCAGAGAGGAGGAGAAAACUUUUAUAGGACAGGACAAUAGCUUUCAUCCUUGAAGAGGCUCAAUCUUCUGAGCCAUCAUCUUCAAAUUCUCCAUCAACAAGGGAAUCCACCACUGCAGUGCCUAAAGCCGACAUUAUGGCUGAAGAGCAACCAAGGAGGGUGACCCUUGAAGAUUAUUCUAGCAUCGCUGUGCCACAGUUCUUUACAAGCAUUGCAAGGCCAGAGGUGCAGGCCCACAAUAUCACAUAUCCACAUUCUUUGAUUCAGUUAAUACAAGGCAAUUUGUUCCAUGGUCUACCCAAUGAAGACCCAUAUGCACACUUGGCAACAUAUAUUGAGAUAUGCAACAUUGUCAAGAUUGUCGGUGUGCCAGAAGAUGCUAUUCGGCUCAGCUUAUUUUCAUUUUCAUUAUCUAGAGAAGCCAAGAGGUGGCUGCAUUCAUUCAAAGGUAAUAGCUUAAGGACUUGGGAUAAAGUUGUGGAAAAGUUUUUGAAGAAAUAUUUUCCUGAGUCCAAGACAACAGAGGGAAAAGCUACAAUUUCUUCAUUCCAUCAAUUUUCCGAUGAAUCUUUGAGUGAAGCUUUAGAACGAUUCCGUAGCUUGCUGUGGAAGACCCCCACACGUGGAUUCUCUGAGCCUAUACAAUUGAACAUCUUCAUUGAUGGGUUAAGGCCACAGUCGAAGCAGUUACUAGAUGCUUCUGUAGGAGGUAAAAUUAAAUUGAAGACUCCUGAAGAAGCAAUGGAGUUAAUUGAGAAUAUGGCUGCUAGUGACCAUGCAAUCUUGCGUGACAGAACACAUAUCCCCACCAAAAGGAGUUUAUUGGAGCUGUCAUCACAAGAUGCUUUGUUGGCUCAGAAUAAGUUGCUGUCCAAGCAGCUUGAAGCUUUAACUGAAACAUUAAGUAAGUUGCCAACUUAGCUUUCUGCUAGUCAACCUUCACCUUCUUCUGUUUUGCAGGUUGCAUGUUGUGCUAUUUGUGGUGGUGCUCAUGAGUCAGGCUGCUGUAUUCCCACUGAGGAUCAUGCACAUGAAGUUAACUACAUGGGAAACCAACCUAGACAAAAUUUUAAUGCAAGUGGAUUCUCAGGAUUUCAGCAGGGCCAAAAUUAUAACUAGUAGUAUGGACAGUGGAGAGCUCAUCCUGGUAAUCAAUUCAACAAAGACCAGGGAGGGCCAUCUAAUAGGCUGCAACAACAAGGGCAUAAUCUCUACGAGAGGACAACAAAGCUGGAAGAGACUCUUGCUUAGUUUAUGUAGGUUUCAAUAUCAAAUCACAAAAGCCCUGAGUCGGCCACUAAAAAUUUAGAGAUCCAGGUGGGGCAGUUGGCCAAGCAAAUUGCUAACACUUCUUCCAACAAAUUUGGAGCAAACACAGAGAACAAUCCCAAGGAAGAGUGUAAAGCUGUGAUGACCUGAGGUAGGAUGGCAACAAUGGCUGAAGAAGAGAAGGACGAGAAGAUAGUGGAUGGAGAUAAACAACAACGAGAAAGUGAACCAGCACUUGAACCAGUGGACCCUUUUUGUGAACUUGAGGAAGUGGAAGAUGAGGAGGAUGACCAAGAGGAUGAGACACCAAUAAUUUUGAGUGAGAAAGAAAUAAAGGAUGAGAAAAAGAAAGAAAAAGAAAAAGAAAGAGAAAGAGAAAAAGAAAAAGAAAAAAAUGAAAAAAAUGAAAAAGAAGAAAAGAAAGAAGAGAAGAAAAAGAGUAAGAGUGAGCUUGCUGGAGAGAAAAAGAAAGAGGUAGCUCUAGCUGAAGGGAGAGAGGUGCCAUACCCAUUGGUACCCUCAAGGAAGGAUAAAGAGCGUCAUCUAGCUAGAUUUCUUGAUAUCUUCAAGAAGCUAGAAAUCACUAUGCCCUUCGGAGAAGCUCCACAAUAGAUGCUGCUCUACUCUAAAUUUCUAAAGGAUAUGCUAACCUGAAAGAGCAAGUACAUACAUAGUGACACCAUAGUUGUGGAAGGAAACUGCGGUGCUAUUAUCCAAUGCAUCCUCCCACCUAAGCAUAAAGAUCUAGGCAGUGUCACUAUUCCUUGCUCGAUCGGUGCAGUUUCAGUGGGAAAAGCUCUUAUUGAUUUAGGAGCAAGUAUUAAUUUGAUGCCACUCUCAAUGUGUCGGAGGAUAGGAGAGCUAGAGAUAAUGCCCACAUGAAUGACUUUGCAGUUAGCAGACCACUCCAUCACCAGACCGUAUGGAGUUAUUGAAGAUGUUCUUGUCCAAGUCAUACACUUUACCUUCCCUGCUGAUUUGUUGUGAUUGACAUUGAGGAGGACGUUGAGAUCCCUCUUAUCUUGGGGCGUCCAUUCAUGUCAACUGCUAGCUGUGUAGUAGACAAGGGGAAGAAGAAGUUGGAGAUGGGAAUUGAAGAUCAAAAGAUAAGAUUUGAUCUAUUUGAUGAAGAGAAACAACUUCUAGACCAGAAUGUCUGCUUGAAGGUGAAGGAGUAUGGAGAAGAGAUUCUGAAGGAGGGAACCAAGUUUGAUCCAGACCCUUGAAGACCGAUGCAUCAAGCUAGUGACAUUAAAAGAGCGCUUUCUGGGAGGCAACCCAACCCUUUGUAUUUCAUUGCUGUUUUUCAUUGCAUUUAGUUAUAGCUUGCUGUUUGUGGUUGCAUGAAACAUUCAUCAGCAUGUUUUGCAUUGAAAAAGGGGUUGACAAGUUUUUAUUAAGCAGUGGAUGAAAAAUAACUUAGAAAAUUUUUCAGUAGUCCACUCGCUAAGCGUAUUACUCGCGCUAAGCGAAUCUGUCUUCAUGCGCUAAGCGAGCUGUUGCUUUUGCUAAGCGCUGCGACCCCUAUUUUUUGGCUGAAAGGGUCUCACUAAGCCCAAAAACUUCUCUGGAUUUUAAUUUUUUUUGAAUUGGGCUAAGCGCAACUGCUCGCUAAGCGCAAAUACUUCUCUGGAAUUUCAUUUAUGAGCAUUGCGCUAAGCGAGGCACCCCGCUAAGCGAGACCCACUCACUGCAUUUAAGGAGUAUGUUAUUUGCUAAGUGCGGCCUAUGGUCCGCUAAGCGUGAGUUGUAGGCCAAUCAGAGCUGCAGAACUCGCUAAGCGCGUAGCUUCGUGCUAAGCCCAAAAACUUCUCUGGAAUUUAAAAUUUUGAAAUUUUUGAAUUGGGCUAAGUGAGCAUGCCCGCUUAGUGCAUGAGUUUGGAAACUCAAAUGUCAUUGCAUGCUCGCUUAGCGAGUUGACAUGCUAAGCGAGGCAGUCCAAACUGCCAAAAAGCAAUAAGGCGUAACUGCCCUAGGAAGUUACAUUUUAUGCCUUUAAGUGCAUUUCUUCUCCCAUUCAUUGCCAUUUUCUCUGCGCUGUGCUCUCAACUUCCUCGUUGCCUGUAUCCUUGCUCCCUUUUUGCUUUCAUCUUCAGCAAUCCAAGUAAGCCUUUUAACUUGCUUUUAGUUUCAAAGUUUUAAACUUUAGGUUGGUAAAGUUAGUUUACUAUUUAAAGCUUUGAUUUUUGUUGUGAUUACAUGAUGAUAGGUUAGUUGUUAGUUAGAACAGUGUUAGGGGUUUUGAUUCGCAUACAAUGUACGUCAUUUUGACAUGUUUUGGUUAGUAUUUGAUGGCCCAAUAGAGGACUAUGUUGAGGGGCUAAAAAGCCCCAAGUUUUUUUGGAAAUCUCGAUGAUCUCGCUAAGCGCGCCUGUGCGCUAAGCGAGUUCAUAAGUUUUUGUUGAAUAUCUGGAUUUCCAGAUGAAUUCGCUAAGCCAUUCCUUAUGCGCUAAGCGAGUUCAUCUUCUCUGAUGAUGAAUGUUAUGUAUGAACUUGCUUAGCCGACAUUCCGCACUAAGCUAGUUGAUGUGUUUUCAGACACUUAGAAAAUUUUUUGUUUUGCUGUUGGUGGCCAAGCGAGUCCUCUCGCUAAGCCAUUUAGCCCAGUUGGCUGAAUAAGCCUAGGCUAAGCGAGCAUGUCUCACUAAGCCCAAGGCAAUUGUGUUUUCUGAAUGUUUUGUCAUGCGCUAAGCACGCCUUACCGCGCUAAGCGCAAUUUCUUUCCUGUUUUGUAAUUUUUGGAAUUGGGCUUAUCGAGCCUGCUCGCUAAGCCAAUUAUUCUCUAGUAUUGUUGUCGCGCUAAGGGCACCGUAUGCGCUAAGCGCAAAUUGUUUUCUGUUUUGGAAUUGGGCUUAGCGAGCCAAUUAUGCAGUAGAGUAGUUUUCUGUGUUAACUCGCUAAACGCACCUCGAUCGCGCUAAGUGUAUGAGUUAAUUUUCAUAAGUCGUGCUAAGCGAAUCCAUCUCGCUAAGCGCCUAGUUUAAAUUUCAGAUUUUUUUUUGCUUUCUAAUUUGAAUAAAUACCUGUCUAAUUUUGUGUCUUUGAUUUUUUUGAUGUAGAUGGCUUCCAAGAAAUGAAAGGCUAAAGCUUCCAGGCCUCAGGCCAAUUAUGGCAUAACCAGAUUUACAUCCGAAGCUGCUUGGAAUCAUUAUGCAGAUAAUGUUCUUGGUCAGAAUAUUCUUUCGGAAAGAAAUUUCAAGCUGUUUGUGACUGAAUACGAUGAAUUUAGAAGAGAAAUUGAGAGCAGAAACUAGCACAUGUAGCUGACUAACUUGACCGAGGGGAGCAUGGAUGUGGCUUUAGUGAAAGAAUUUUAUGCUAAUAUAUAUGACCCGGAGGAUAAAUCUCCAAAACAGGUUAGGGUUAGAGGUCACUUGAUAAAAUUUGAUGUUGAUUCCCUCAAUACCUUCCUGGAGACUCCGGUGGUUCUAGAGCCAGGGGAGAGCCUUCCCACAUAUUACAGGUUCUGCAAACUAUAGCCAGGUCCUCAGGAGUUGGCUGCCCGACUAUGUAUCCCUGACAGGGGAUUUGUUCUGAAUGCAGAGGGCCUGCCAUUGAAGCUUCUGAGGAAGGACCUCUCUACUCUGGUGCAAACCUGGAGUGUCUUGUCCUACUUCAACCUUGCCCCUACAUCACAUACAUAUGAUUUGAAUCUGGAUAGGGCAAGGUUGGUGUAUGGACUUGUCAUGAAAUGGAUAUGGAUGUUGGAGAUCUUAUUUCUAGACAAAUAUCUUUGAUAGCUCAGUCCAACUCCUCUCGGCUAGGAUUUCCAGCUAUUAUCACUGCUCUAUGCAUGGACAGAGGAGUCACCUCAGACUCGUUGACUUUCGAGACUCUCAGCCUAGCCAAUAAUUUGGCGUACAUCAAGAAGAAUUGCUGGAACCUGGAUGAUCCUUCGGUCAGCUUCCCAGGGACCUGCAAGGCCCGGGCCAGAGGAUCUGAGGGUCCAUCUUCAUCUGCUCCCCAGGACUCUACUGAUGCAAUCCUCCCUAGGAAGGGACCAGUCACUAGAGCCAUGAGCAAGAGGCUCCAAGAGGAUUGGGCUAGAGUUGCUAAAGAAGGCCCUAGGGUUCUUAUAAACCUCAGGGUAGAUUUCUGAGCACAUGGGCCAAUGUUGGGUCCAAUUAUCUUUGUACAUAUUAGACUAGGAUGUCAUUAUAUUUGGUCCUUGUAUUUAGGGCUCUAUAAUAUAGGUAGGGUACCCUAGAAAUAUAGGAUUUUUUAGCCCUUGUAUUUUAGGACACCUAGACUAGUUUUUGUAUUAGAGGUAGUUUUGUAAUUUCACAUGCACUAAGUGAAUAUUUGAUGUGUGUAGUUAGAAAUAAAUUUAAUUGAAUUGGUUGAAGCCCAAUCCAAUUAAAUUUUAGAGGGGGAGGUGAGCAUUUGCUUACUACACCCCAUUGCCACAUCAUAUAGUCACACUUUGUGCAUGUCCUUCAUGCUUUACAUGCCUCAUGACUAGGGGUGGGAAUAGGCUAGGCCGGCCUACAGGGGCCUACGACCUGGCCUACAUAAAGUCUGGCUUGGCCUGAGCUAUUUAAUUAAAAGGCUAGGCUCAGGCUUUUUUAAAAGCCUAUUAAAUUAAAUAGGCCAGGCUUAGGCUUAUUAAAAAGCCUUAUAAGCCUGAUAGGCCGGCCUAUAUAUAUAUAUAUAUAUAUAUAUAUAUAUAUAUAUAUUAUUUUUUGGGUACAAUUAAUAUUAUUUUUUAAAAAAACUAGCAGAUUUCAUUCUUAUAAUUAAGUAAAAUUUUAAUUACAAGGUGUGAGUUUCUUUAUAUUUCUCAUUAUUUUUAUUAGUUUUCUUAUUUCUGUUAACAGUUCCUUUUUCUAUUCCUAUUAGGUUUCCUUUAUUCUAGAGCAACUAAAAAUCAUAUCCUACAUUCUUAUACAAAAAUCAUAUCCUAUUAUGUUCCUAUACAAAAAUCAUAUCCUAUCAUAUCCUAUUACGUUUCUAUACAAAAAUCAUAUCUUAUCUUAUAGUGGAUAUGGAGGAGCUAAUGAUGAAAUGACGUUACUAUUAAUUUUAUUGGUAGAUAUUUUAUGCACCGAUUCUGUUCAAAUAGAAUGGAGAUGUAGGCUUUAUUUUUUUAUUGUAAUAAUUAAUAUGUUGGUUUGAUAGACUUGGAUGAUACUACCUCAAGUAUGAGGUUUUCUUUUGUUUUAGAUUAUUUUAUAUCAUUUGGUGAUUUCUGUUUGUAUUAUUAAUAUAUUUUUAGGACCACCAACUAAAUUAACGUUAGAUUAAAAAUUAAGGCAAAUUAUAUAUUAAGGCCUUGUUUAGCCUAUUAUAGAAGGUGAGUUAUUUUAUUUUUUUUUGGUAAAAACAACUAGGAAUAUUAAAGAUUUAAUGUGAAGAAGAUUUUUAAAUAGGCUUUUAAAUAGGCUACCAGGCCAGGCUAGGCUUUUAAAAAGGCCAGACCGAGCCAAAAUAAAAGCCUUUGAUAGGCUAUAGGCCAGGCUCAGGCCUCAAAAAUUAAUCAUAGGCUAGGCUCAGGCCUUUUAAAGCCUGGCCUGGCCUGGCCUAUUCCCACCCCUACUCAUGACACCUAAGCACACUUAGUGGAGAAUCUUGGAAUUGAUCUUGGAUUAGUGGGCUGAACCAUAACUAAAAUUCACUAAUCAUAAUUAGUGAAAUUUUGGCUCCAAAGUUUGGCUCCACAAAUUCAAUUUCAAAUUCAAGUGAAAUUUGAAUUGAAAUUCAAAUUUCCCUCCAAUUUUGUGUGACACUUAGGCUAUAAAUAGAGGUCAUGUGUGUGCAUUUUUUCAACUUUGAUCAUUUAAAUAUUAAACUUCAAAUUUUAAAGCUUUUUUAGAGCACAAAAUUUCGUGCUCUUCUCUCCCUCUCCCUUCAUUCAUCUCCUUCUUCCUCCAAGCUCUUAUCCAUGGCCUCCUAUGGUGGUGAGCUUCUUCUAGACUCAUCUUCUCCUUGAAGUGGCAUCUCCUCUCUCUCUUCCUUCUCCAUUCCGCUGCCAUUCAUCUUCCAAGAAGCAAAGGAAUCCAUUGAUGAAGAAGAUCCUAGGCCUACAAGCUCCAAUGGAGCUUACAUCAUGUCCCCUUCCCCUUGAAGAGGAUUUGACCUCAAAUCUGUUAGUUCAUCCUCCUCAAUAUCAGCUCCACCUGCAAAAGGAAUUAAAUCCGAAAUGUUAAAAGUGGUGCUGACUCCAUACUCUUUUGGGAGGUCCAACCUAUAGGCAUUGUUAUUGAUCCUCUCCAAAACCUGAAAAGGUCCAUCCCCUCUAGGGCUAAGCUUGGAUUUCCUUUUAGUAGGGAAUCUAUCCUUCCUAAGAUGGAGCCAAACCCAAUCACCCUCAUUAAGAACUAGCUCUUUUCUUCCUCUAUUGCCUUUAGUUGAAUACACCUUUGUUUGGUUCUCUAUUUGGUUCUUAACCCUCUCAUGCAACUUCUUUAUAAACUCUGACCUAGAUUCCCCUUCUUUAUGUAUAAAAGAAGUGUCCAGUGGGAGAGGAAUAAGGUCUAACGGUGUUAGGGGAUUGAACCCAUAGACAACCUCAAAAGGGGACUACUUGGUGGUUCUAUGAACCCCCCUGUUGUAGGCAAAUUCUACAUGAGAAAGAUACUCAUCCCAAGACUUAUGGUUGCCUUUCAGAAGAGCCCUUAAAAGGGUGGAUAAAGACCUAUUCACUACCUCUGUUUUCCCAUUAGUUUGUGGAUGACAAGUGGUAGAGAAAAGAAGUUUAGUUCCUAGCUUAGCCCAUAAGGUUUUCCAGAAGUGGCUAAGGAACUUAGCAUCUCUAUCUGACACAAUGGUCCUAGGCAAACCAUGGAGUCUCACAACUUCCCUGAAAAAGAGUUUUGAGAUGUGGGAAGCAUCAUCCACCUUGUGGCAUGUUAUAAAGUGUGCCAUCUUGCUAAAAUUAUCCACCACCACAAAGAUAGAGUCUACACCUCUUUGGGUUCUAGGAAGCCCAAGGACAAAGUCCAUACUAAUGUCUACCCAAGGUGCAGAAGGGAUGGGUAAGGGUGUGUAUAGCCCAUGAGGCAUCACCCUAGACUUGGCUUGUAAACAAGCCACACACCUAGUGCAAUGCUUAUGGACAUCUUUCUUCAUAUGGGGCCAAUAAAACUUUUCUUUGAGUAAGACAAGCGUCUUGUCUAUCCCAAAGUGGCCCAUGAGCCCACCUUCAUGGCUCUCUUUCACAAGUAAUUUCCUAAUGGAUCCUUGGGGUAUGCAAAGCUUUCCCUCUUUGAACAAAUACCCCUCAGCCAAAUAGAAUCCAUCUUGGGCAUUUUUCCCACAACUCUUGUAAAUGGGAGAGAAAUUUUCAUCUAAAGCAUACAAGUCCCUAAUAUUAUGAAAUCCUAAAAUUUGAGCUCCUAGGGAGCAAAACAAUGUGUGUCUCCUAGAGAGGGCAUCAGCUACCACAUUUGUUCUUCCCUUUUUGUAUUUGAUAACAUAUGGAAAUUGCUCUAGGUACUCUACCCAUUUUUCAUGCCUCUUAUUUAACUUGCUUUGUCCUCUAAUGUACUUAAGUGAUUGAUGAUCACUAUGAAUGACAAAUUCCAUGGAAACAAGGUAAUGUUCCCAAGUUUGGAGGGCUCUUAUUAAGGCAUAAAGCUCUUUAUCAUAAGUGGGGUAGUUGAGAGUGGCACUAUGAAGUUUUUCACUAAAAUAAGCAAUAGGGUGCCCACCUUGUAACAAUAUAGCUCCAACUCCCACUCUAGAGGCAUCACAUUCUAGCUCAAAAGUUUUAGAAAAGUCAGGAAGAGCUAGAAUAGGUGCCUUAGUAAGCUUUUCUUUAAGCAAAGCAGGGGCUUGCUCUUGUUUUUCACCCCAGGUAAAUGCCACAUUCUUCUUCACCAACUCAUUGAGAGGUGAUGCAAUUGUAGAGAAAUUAGGAACGAACCUUCUAUAGAAGCUUGCUAACACAUGGAAGCUCCUAAUAUCUCCCACACUUUUUGGGGUGGGCCAUUCUUGGAUGGCCUUGAUUUUCUAAGGGUCCACAUGGACCCCAUUUCUACCAACUACAAAACCUAAGAAAACUAUAUUAUCUACACAAAAGGUACACUUCUCUAUAUUUGCAUAGAUGGUGUUUUUCCUAAGGACUGAAAGAACUUGCCUGAGAUGUCCUAAGUGAUCAUCUAGGCUCCUACUGUACACUAAAAUAUCAUCAAAAUAAACAACUACAAAUCUACCUAUGAAAUCCCUUAAAACAUGAUGCAUAAGCCUCAUAAAGGUGCUUGGUGCAUUAGUGAGCCCAAAAGGCAUCACUAACCAUUCAUACAAACCAAACUUGGUCUUGAAAGCGGUUUUCCACUCAUCACCCUUUUUCAUACUGAUUUGGUGAUAACCACUUUUAAGAUCAAUUUUUGAAAAGAUAUUGGCACCAUGCAACUCAUCAAGCAAAUCAUCAAGUCUAGGAAUGGGGUGCCUAUACUUUACAGUGAUGUUGUUGAUGGCCCUGCAAUCUGUACACAUUCUCCACGUACCAUCCUUUUUGGGCACCAACAACACCGGCACAACACAUGGGCUUAGGUUCUCUUGGACCCAACCCUUCUCCAACAAUUCUUUAACCUGAGACUCUAUCUCCUUAGUCUCCUGAGGGCUAGUCCUAUAGGCUGGCCUAUUAGGAAGGCUUGCUCCUGGGACUAAAUCUAUUUGGUGUUCUAUUCCCCUUAAAGGAGGUAACCCAGGGGGUAUCUCUUUGGGAAAUAUAUCACCAAAUUCAUGUAAGAGUUCUUGGACCUUUGGGGGUAAGGUCUCAAAUGUAGGAAUUGUGGCAAUGCUAAGGGAUGUUUCCCUUGAUAGGAGAAGGUAGAAAGAUUGUUUAAGAAGGAGUGCUCUUUUAAUAUCACUUUUUGUUGCAAAAUGAUUUUCCUUCUCAACAAUCUUUUUGGAGGAAUCCUUUUCCUCUUUUUCCUUCCCCUUGGCCUUUGAAGACAAGGCCUUACUAUCCUUUUUUUUCUUUUGUUUUUCUUCCUCAUCCCUCUUAUCUUUCAUAGUUAGUUGAUCUUAGGCCACCUGUGAAGGUGUUUGAGGAUGCAACACAAAUUUAGUGCUAAGACAGGUGAGGGUAAUCUCAUUAGUUAGGCCAUUGUAAAUGAUCUUCCUAUCAAAUUUCCACGGUCUUCCUAAAAGAAUAUGUCUUGCCUCCAUGGAAACUAUAUCACAAUUAACUUCAUCCUUAUAUGUCCUAAUGGAGAAAGGUACCUUCACUUGUUGGUUAACUAUCAUUUCCCCUUGCUCAUUGAGCCAUUGAAGUUUAUAAGGUUUUGGGUGGCGAAUGAUAGUGAGGUUCAACUUGGAAACUAAUCUUGUGCUACAACAAUUGCAACAAGAUCCACUAUCCCUAAUGAGAAAACAAGUUUUAUCUAAAAUUUUGCAUCUUGUAUGAAAGAUGUUCUCUCUUUGGGAUUGAGAUAGAUCACAAGAUUGACCUCCAAGGAGCCUUCUGACCAUUAAGAGGUCACCUUCUUCAUGGGGGUAGACUUCCUCACUAGACUCUUCACCCCUUACUUCAUCUUCACUUCCACUAAAGGAAGGGCAAGAAGUAGUCUCCUCUUGACUACUAUAAAUGUCUUGACCCCUCAUGAUCAUGGUUUUCUUUGUGGGGCAUUGAGAGGCAAUGUGACCUCUCCCAAGACAUUUGAAGCAUUUAAUGUUGCUAGUCCUUUCUUGGGAACAAGUCUUGGGGGUGUAUUUCUCUAUGGUCUUAUCCUUAUCUUCCUUGGGUUUUGAAGGUGCAGCCCCUAAAAUUCCAUGGGCUUGGUCCUUCCUUGGAUAAGAGUGAGAGCCAUAAGAUUUUGAAGAAGACUUUCUUUUAAGUUGUUGCUCCACUCUUAUACAAAGUUGGACUAGCUCAUCUAGGUCCCUAUAUGGAAGGAGUUCAACCCAUUCCCUCACUUCCAUAUUAAGCUCACUAAGGAACCUAGCUAUGCUUGUUCUUUCCUCCUCCCUAAGUCCAGCUCUUAAAAUGAGUAGUUCCAUUUGUUGUCUAUAUUCUUCAACACUCAUACUCCCUUGUCUAAGCCUUUGGAUUUUGUCCAUAAGCUCCCUUUCAUAGUAGGAGGGAAUGUGCCUCUUCCUAAGGGCACUCUUAAGAUCAUUCCAAUACUCUACUGGAUGAUCCCCAUGAAUCCUUGGUUCCCUAACAAGGGAAGUCCACCAAUAGAGGGCGUACCCUUGAAAGCUAAGGGUAGCCAAUGGAACUUUUCUCUCUUCGCUAAUAUGAUGGCAAGCAAAGAGUUGUUCAACCUUCAUUUCCCAAUCUAGGUAGGCCUCAACAUGAUCUUUUCCAUGGAAAUAUGGGAGGCUAAUGUUAACCUCUUGAGGCCUUCUAUCCUUUUCUCUUUUCAUUUCUUUCAUUAUUUUUCUUCUUUCUUCCUCUCUUAUUUUCUCUCUUUUAUCUUGACUUAUUUCUUCCACUCUUUUUUUUUUCCUUUUUCUUUUCUCUCUUGUUUUUCUUUCCACAACUUAAGGGAUAUCAACUCAUCUAAUAUCUUAUACAAGGGGUCCUUAGGAGCAGAACCCUCACCAUCAACACUAGAUUAAGAAUGAAGACUCAUGUUGGUUCCUAAGUUAUGGUUCUUUCUUAUUGGGGAUUUGAAAACAAAAGGUAAAAGAAACUAUGGUUGAAACUAGCCAAAAUAAACACUAAAAGAGGUGUGAAAGAUAAGGUAAAAACUAAUUGGUAAAAAGCAAGCUAUCUAGGCGGUUUGACAAUGGAAGGUAAAAGAAAUAAGCUAUGAAAGUAAGCAAGAAAUUAAAGUGCAAGAAAGGCAAACUAGGCGGAUCCUAAGAGUGUUAGGAUGACCUCAUUUAAGGUUCCCAACAAAACACUCACUAUCCUAAGGGAAAAUUGCCUAAAAUUAUUACACAUAAAUGGAAGUAGGGUGACCUAUUGAAGGCUCCCAACUUACUUCCAAUGAAAGGCCUUUUUGUUACAAAGUUUGAAAGCAAAGAAAAUUGCUAAUUACAAAAUUACAAAAAAAAGUCCUCAAUUGUGGUGGCUAUUCUAUCUUUGGUGUUUCACUCAAUUUGGAGUGCUUCUUAGUCCAAUAGCUCUUAAGGUGGUUGGCCCCUUGCUUCUUGACUCAAAUUCUUCAAGGUAUGGCACCAAUCCUCCUUUCCAAUUCCCUAUAUGGCAACUCACAAGCAAGGAAACAAAGAGACAAGCAAUAACCAAAGACAAAAAAAAAAUGAAAUGAAAGCUAAACCAAUAGAGUUUUAACAAGACAAAUUUUCAAGGAUUAUUCAACAAUUAAAGAAAUGAAAAGCACACAAAAGCAAGCUAGGACUCAAAGAGAAACCUAGAAUGGAUCUAGAGUAGAGUAGAAAAACAAAAAAAAAGAAGACUCAAGAAACCUCUAGUUUUGGCACUUGUCUUCACAAUAAUUUUCAAUAGAAAUUUCAGAACUAGGAUUGGUAUAAAAUAGUCACCAAUUAUAGAACAAAUUUUUAGCCAAAACAACAAGCACACUUCCCUUUCACUGUUUUUUUUCUUUUCCUGGACACUGAUUUUUCUUCCAACUUGUGUGAUUUUUCUUAUUUUUUCCUUUAAUCCAAAUCGAUUGGUUCUUUUUUCAUAAUUUUUUCCUGAACACCCCGCAGGGAUCACCAGUAGGCACGCUUGUGCUGAAUCUGACUGAUGAGGAGGAUGCCAUGGAUCAGGACCCACCACAGGACCGGUGACAAGAUUUAUACUUUCCUGUCUUUUGAACACUUUUAUUAUCAUUCUAUUUUUAGUACACGUUAUAAUUUGGUUUUAUAAUUAUGUUUCAGUUUUUAAAUUUCAGUUAUAGUUUUAUUUUAGUUUUUAGUUUGCAUGAUAGCUUGUUUUAAGCUUGAUUGAACAUUUACAUUUAUAUUAUUAAGUGGUUGAUGUUUGAUUUUGAAAAAUUUAGUGCUUGAUGGUUUGAAAUGAUCAAUUUCAUGAUUUGAGUGAAGUGUAAUGCGCACAUCAUAUGCUUUGAAUGAGCAUGCAGUGAUUAGAAGAGAAAGAACAUGGAUUAGGACUAUGACUGAAAAUGUUAGUUAGUUGACAGAUUGAUUGUGAAGGUACUCAUUAACCACAACCUGGUGAGUAUGUGAUCUUGAAUUUUGAGAGAACGACUAGCAUUAAGUAAUGAUUUUUGCAUGAAUCUCUGAUUAUGGAAUGAAUGCAUGAAUUCGAAGAUGAUGAAGGCCAUGGUUGUGUGAAUUAUCCACUUAGCCAAAAAGCUUACCUUGCGAAUGAAAUGAUUUAUCCUUUGCACCCAUAUUGAGCUGAAAUUGAUUACUUGAACCUUGAGCUUGUAAAUUAUAUCUCCUUCUACCAUGUCUUAGGUUGUAGGAGAGCAUCAUUCAUAACAAUAUUGUGGUUCAAAGCAAAUUUGUUCCAAAUUUGGGGGAGUUUAUUGGGUGACAACUUCUAAUGGUAAGAAGAUAACAACACAAACAGUAAACCAAUAAGCAGCAAGUAAAGAGCUGCUGUAUAAAAAAAAAAAAAAGCUAAGUGUGGAAAGGCAAGUAAUCGAAGUUGGAAAUUGAUCGAGGCCCUACCCGAAUCAAAUAAACAUGAAAAUGCAGUAACUAGGAAGUGAUCCUAGGUCGUUUCCCAACGAGCAGUGACAAACCAAAUGUUCAUAAUAUACUUGCAGUAACAGUAACGAUUGGGGGGGGGGGGGUUUGGUUGUUUGGUAAUUAAAGAGCAGAACAAGUAAACUGGAAUACGAAACUACUAAUAUUAAAAACGGGUUGUUUCCUUUGAUUCAGAAGCCAUUCUCUUAUCCUGGGUUAUGGAGAAUUCGUCCCUAACAGUCAACCACUUAAUCCAACCCUAUUUCAAUUUACUAAGCGAAAAUCAACUUAGGGUUUUCAAUACGUGAUUAGGCACCACAUACACCAGUUAGCCCUUCGUCCAUUAAGUAUGAACGCAAGUUAGGCUCAGAGGCAAUUAAUCGAACACGAAGCGUGCACUGAUUAAUAUUCACGAAAUUGGGAUAACUGGUGAAGGGAAAACUGCCAGGAAACCACAUUACAAGCGAAAUCUCAAAGAGAGUUGGGCUUCGUCCUCAAAAGGAAACAACACCAGAAAAUCUAGCCUUCCAUGGAUUCAAACAGAAAACGCAAAUGAAACAUGAAACAGAAACAUAAAUGAACAGAAACGUAAAUGAACAGAGACGUAAAUGAGCAGAAACGUAAAUGAACAGAAACGUAAAUGAAAGUAGAAGAAGAAGCACGAAUGAACUCGUAAUUAGAAGCAGAAAACGGAAAUUUGCAUUAAGAACGAAAACUGUAACAAGGGAACAGAAAAACGUGAAAACCUAAAACCAAAGCUCUGAAUAAUGAAAAUAGCAUAACAGAAUGCCUUGCACGAAUCCCAAGGCAGCUAUUUAAAAAGAGUCACUCAAAGUCACUGGGCCCUAUUACAAUACUCUGGCCCAAAACGAAAUAAACACUGAACAACAUAAAAUAAAAUUGCAAAAUUUCCUAAUUAGAAAUUAACUAAGGUAAGCGCUGCUUUAUUUGCCCUCUUCAAGUCCACAACUAAAAUCCGGAUUAAGCCCAAUGUUUCAUUAAUUCCUGAAAUUAGAUUAAAAACAUCAAAUUAGCUAAAUGAGCCCAAAUAAUAAAACUGCCUAAUUAAUUGACAAUUAAGACCAAUCAAUAAUUAAAAUGGUGCAAAAAGGGUUUAGAAAAUAGAAGAAAAUGAUGGCACAUCAGAAAUAAUUAUGGAAAGAGUUGAUCUAUGGAUGAAUGCUCUCUUAGAACAUAAGCUUUUGCAUCCUAGAAAAACCAUGAUUUGUUAGUAGCCUAGCUUCAUUACAAGCCAAGAAAAGUCCUUCGGAUUUAGUUUGUGUGUUUAUGACUGUAUGGCAUGAGAUGAAUUGCAAAGAUUAAGACUUGUGUUGGUUGUUGAUUGAUUAUAAGCCUAAACACUUGUGCUUGAGUGAAACAGUGAUCAUGAGGCUUUGGUUGAUGAUCUUUCCUUGAUAUUUGUCAUAUUCACUAGCUUAUUUCAGUUGUGUUUCUUAAUAAUCAUGUUCAUAGUUUUGAAAAUCUGCAUGCCUUCUGAGAAGCUGUUGAUUAAACAUUGUAUGCAACUUAUGUCAUGUGAUUGAAUCCUUUGGAACAAACACUUUGUGAAGAACCACUAUGUUUUUAUCACUUGAGGACAUGUGAAUUGUUCUUUCUUUGCUUGAGGACAAGCAAAACUGUAAGUUUGGGGGAGUUUGUUAGUCGUCUUUUACGACUAACUUUUGUAUAGAAAUGUUUUCCAAAAUGUAUAUAUUUUCCCCAAUUUAUGGUUCUUUUUGUAGGAUUGUAAAUAAUUCUUGUUUAGUUUUUAUUUUUGCUAAGUAGAGACCUUCCUCAUGGAACUAAUGUAAAUUUCACUUCAAUUUCAGGUAAAAAGGAGAAAUUUUGGAAGGUGCUGAAGUUGCUUUCUCGCUAAGCCUGGUCCAUGCACUUAGCGAGAUUCAUCCGCUAAGCGAGACAACAGCCCGCUUAGCGAGUAAGAGGAAUCUUGGAGAGAAUCUGCCUCGUCAGCACGCGCUCAGUGGGUCACCAGCUCACCCAACGAGAUUUUUGCCUCUUCUUGCGCUAAGCGCACUUGGCUCGCUGAGCCAAAAUUAACUUACUCACGCUUAGCGUGAAAGUGGCGCUAAGUGCACCUUCAAGGACAGAAAGCCCUUUUUAAGCCCGAAGUGAAAAGAAAGAAAGGGGGUCUGAAUAGGCAGAGAGCUUGGCAGAAGAACAAAAGGGAAAAGCAGAGUAAGGAAGCAAAAACCUUAGCUUUUAGGAGAAUUUUAGGUUUAGGAGUAAUUUCUAGGUUCCUAGAGGUAGAGGAGACAUCCCCAUUACUUUGUAUUCUGGUAUUUUCCCUGAAACCCUUCUCCUGCUUGUGAAAGGUGCUCCCUUGUAAUGGAGGGGUAAAAUCCUUUGUUGGGAAAUUCUGCUUAGUACUUGAUGUAAAUACUUAUCAUAUCUAUUUAAAGUUGUUUUUAUGUGUUCGUUGUUUUUAUCCGUGCUUAAUUAUCGCAUGCUUGUGGCUUGAUCACCCAUUUGUAUGUGCUGUUAGGAGCUUUAGCAUUAGAAAAUGUAUUGCAUCCUUAGAAUUGGAUAGAACAGGGCUAGGUUAUCGUAUAAUCUAGACACGGAGUGUGGUAGUUUAGUUUUUAUUAUGUUGUAGACGUAAUGCUGUUCGAUUAGGCUAAGUUCAACAAGAGACAUCUGAGAACGAAGCUUAAUUAGAAUUAGUCCAAACUCACGAGACAUCGGUGUUUGGUAUUUUAGCUCUCAACAUAGAACAUGGAAAAUAACUUUGAAUAGAGAAAUACAUUUAAUUGAGUCAAGUAUCUCAGUAGGAGCACCCAACGCUUUUACAUAUUUGUUUUCGCAUCCACUUGCGCAUAUUUACUGUUUUCAAUUAGAAUAGAAAUCACUUUUGUUUUUAAUUCAUGAUAAUCAAUUCUUUUCACAAAUGUCUGCCUACUGAAUGAUGCUUUGCCAAAUAAAACAGGUUCCCUGAGUUCGAUACUUGGUUCUUACCAUUUUAUUAUUACUUGCACGACUCGGUACACUUGCCAGUUAGAUUUACGCAUCCAUAUUAACAAGUAACACCGGGGCGUAAACAGUUGGCGUUCAUCCAAGCUAAAAAUUUGGAAUCUGAAAUGCUUGGCUUGGAUAGGACAUCAUCAAUAUCAUCAUGGUCCUCAUAAAGAACAUUGUGUUGGACUGGAAGAUGGAAAUAUAAUCUUUCAACGGCAGGCUUCCUAGCAUGUAUUGGAAAACCAAAAAUUCUCCAAGCAGCUUCACAGGGAGAAAUGUAUCUGGCAUAAACAUUUAUUUAUUAAAACAAUAAUGGGCACAUUAAUUACACAUGUUAAAUUAAUGCUACCUGCAAUCUAUAUAUUCUUUAAUCUCAUCUUUUUGGUUGGUAGCAUUCUGGAUUUCAUCAUUGCCAUCAUAAACCAUAACAUCAGUGACUCUGUCAUACCCUUUGUUUAUGUACUUGAAUAAAUGUUUGAUUGAAGUACUUUGAUUACACCAUUCAAUAUUGACAUGCACUUGGUAUUUUUUCAGUAAUUUUGGAUUAUAAGGUACGAUGUGUCUAUUAUCAAUGAUAACACCAUUCUUUGAAAUUGUACGACCAUCAUUUCUCCUAUGAUAUACUGGAUAACCAUUUGCAUCUAAAAGAGUGUAAGGUUGGAACAUUUUAGGAUAAAAUCUGCUACACUUUCCUUCUUUCAUACAUGGAGAUUCAGAGCGUAUAAUUCCACAUGGGCCAUGAACCAUAUGAUUUUGCACCAAUGUAUACAAUUUUGGGUCAUCUACCUUUGAAUGUAUCUCUGCUGAUAUAAUCUGAUCAAUUUCAUCUGAAGUUGGAUAUUUAUUGUCUGGGUGCAAAAACAACAAUAAAUGGACAUGAGGAAGUCCUCGUUUUUGGAAUUCUAUUGUAUGCAUAUAUGUGAUUGUUAAAUUAUAGUAUUAGCAGGAAAACAAUAACAUAUAAAUAUUUAACAAUUAUGUUAUAGGAUGAGCAAAAGUAAAAAAUAAUAAAUUGAAUUCUAUGUUUAAUAGAAAAAGUUGUUGUCAACUUACAUGCCACUGCUUUUCCAAGUAGGUGAUUCUUUGAUAGGUCUGAAAGCAUUUCUUCAUAUUUCAACUUGAAAACUCGUGAGAUAAUGUCUGGUCUAUCUGCUGCUUUCAAAUUCAAUGGUGCAAGUAAUCUAUGGAUUUCAGGCCAAUUUGGAUUACAUGUUAAAGUGAUAAAAAGAUUUGGGAAACCAACGUGGCUGCAUAUCGCCAUACCAUCAAAAUAUAGCUGAUCCAUGUAGUGCGGACUCCCAACAAAGGUAGAAGGAAAAAUUACUCUCUUGCCUUUAUUUAAACCUUGGCUUGUCCCAACAUCCAGUGAAUUUUGUAAGCUACAAUACUUGUUAACUCUGAGUUUCUUUUGGUUGUUCCUGAUGUAGUUAAGUCUUUCCGAUUCAACCAUCGUAUAUGCUUCAGCAAUGAAUUGUUGAAAUAGUCUUCUAGAAUGCAAUAAAGUUUGAGCUUCAUUUGGUCUAGACUGAAGUCUAUAAGCAAACCUCUCUCUCAUAGUGAGACGAUUUCUCUUUCUCUUUUUGCUGUCUGGUGUUGCAUAGUGAAGUAUGUCAGACCUAUAUCCAUCUUCACCAUAAGGGAAAAGCAGAGGGAAUUGUAGGCCUAGAUAGCUAGAGUGCAAUUCAUGUAUUCUCUGUAACUGUCCAUUUUGAGUCUCAACAAUAAUAUCUCUUCUUGAGUUGGGAUUAAAAUCACCUACAAUAAGUGCAGCAACUUCUGAAACAGUUGGAACAUUGUAUGUACGACCAUCCUUUUCACGAGUAGCUAUCAAUCUUAAUCUGACAUUAUCCACAUCACUAUCUGCCAAUCUAUCUCUAGCCAUCCUAAAACUUUUAGCAUGCGCAUUGUGUUCAUCCAACAUUUCACCUAAACUUGAAACAAUUUGCGGUUGAAUUCCAUCAUGCUGGCUAGAAAAAGUAAUAUUAGAACUGAUAUGUAAUUCAAAGAAAAUCUGUGAUGAAUGUAUGAUUUUUAUAAUUAUAGAAAUGAAAGAAUCAGUACCUGAUGGCAUUAAUGCUAUUUUGAACUUCAUUAUCUGUGUCAAAGAUAUAUAAUUGUGCAAAUUUGGGUUCUUUUCCAGACAUUGGUAAUAAACUGCCUAUCCGGUGACAUGGUUGACCCUGAAUUCUAAUUGUAGGAGGUCCUCUCGAAUGAUUAAUUGAUUUGUCUAGCUUAAUACCAGCAAAAGUAAAUGCAAACAUCAUGUUAUAUGUGUGUAUGUUUUGUUGAUAAUUUCUACCAUCAGCUGAAUUAUGAUCAAAGAGAAGUCGGUGGAGAUAUUUGGGUGGAUUUUGUAACAAUGGAAGUUCAACUUUGCCAUCUCCACAACAUAAGUUGAACCUCAGGCUUGUACUAUUUUUAUGUUUUGAUAUUCUUUCAUUAUACCACAUUUUUGCAUUAUAGUGUCUACAUUGCAUCAGCUGGUCACCAAGUUCAUAAUAGCCUGAAAUUGUUUAAUGACAUAGGAAAGAUGAUGGUAACAAUUGAUAACAUGGAUAAAAAAAUAUGUCAACUGAUAUGGUUGUCAAUGACUCAGAAUUAUAAUUCUCAUCUUCAAUGUUAAUUGCACGGUCAUUGGCAGAGGAUUGACAAUCUUCAUUUCCAGGGGAAAAAUUUAAAUCAGAUCUUGCAAGAAUUACAAUUACAUAUGGUUAUUAGAUUUCAGGGAUGAAAAAAUCUUGAAUAAAGGAGUUUCUUUGCAUGGUACCUUGUGUUGAUUCAGAACUUAGAUCCUCUAAUGAAUCAGAUUCAAUUGCUUAUAGAUAGAGACAAAUCAAAGUUAAAUGGAAUCAAUUAAUCGAAAGCAAUAUAUUUUACAUGCAAGAUGGUUCAUAUAGUUUCUUACUAUGAUAAUUCCUACGUUGUGAAGUAGAGUCCAUAAUUGCCUGUGGAGGGGCCUGAGCCUGAGGUUGUCGUUUUUUUUAUCUAUGAUACGUUUUUUGUUCAUUCUGGCUUUUGCUGAAUUAGACUUGUCCGUGAAAUGGUACUUUUCCAUGGUGUUAAUGGCAAUUGUUGACUUGGUUGAGUUAUAAAUUAAUGAGAAAAUGGCAAUUGAGAUCAACUAAGAAAAAGUAAACUAACUCUAGAAUGCAUGCAAGACAUUAUGAAAAUAAGAGAAAUGGACAGUUGAAGGCCUAGAACUAUAGUUCAACAUUAACAGCUGGGAAAAUCUGCAUAUAGGAAUGAUGACACUUGCAUGUAGAAACAUCGGUUGGUGAGACUGAUGGGAAAGCUAAUAUGAAAGAUGUUGUGUAUUUUUUGUAAUCACAUGUAUAGCAUAUAUCAUUCAACUUGAUGUAUGCUUUUUUUUCUUCAGAGGAUGCAGAACAAAAUAGGGGACUGAUCGAGGCCGUACCUGAAUCAAAUAAACAUUAAAAAUGAAGUAUCUAUGAAGUGAUCCUAGGUCGUCUCCCAACGAGCAAUGGUCAACCAACGUUCAUAAUAGAUAGUGAUAAAACAGUAACGAAUUGGGGGGGGGGGUUGUUUGUUUUUGUAAUUUAAACAGCAAGCAAAUUUUUAAUUAGAAAAUAAUAGAAUUAGAACACAUUGUUUCCCCUUGAUUCAAAAGCAAGUCUCUUAUCCUAGGUUAUGAAGAUUUAUCCCUAACCAGUUCAACCACUUAAUCCAACCCUAAAUUAAAUUACUAAGCAAAAAUUAACAUAAGGCUAUCAUUAUGUGAUUAAGCAACACAUACACCAAUUAAUCAUGAACGAAGCUGAUCAUUAAGCAUGAACGUAAAUUAAGCACAGAGACAAUUAAUCAAGCACUAAGCAUGCAUGGAUUAAUAGCAACAAAUACAAAGUAAUUGGUGAAGAGGAAAAACUUAUCAUAAUUCAAUAGUAAUAACAAAAUCUCAAAGAGAGCUGUGCUUGAUCCUCAAGAGAAAACAAUGCUGGAGACUUAGCCUUCCAUUAAUCAGUAGAAAACGAAAUUGUAGAUUGAAGCAGAAACAAAAUUGCAGAAAACGAAUUUUAUUCUACGUGAACAGUGCACAUGAACAGUAAAAAUUGGAAUUCUAAAACCCUAGAAUUAUUCUCCUCUUCAAAAAAACUCCUAAACUAAAAAUCUGGUACUGUUAUAUAAGUCCUCAGCCCCAAAGCUUACAAAUCUGUUUUAAGUCCAAGUCCAUAAAUAAAAUAAAAUCUGGACAAGAUAAGAUAAGAUUAGAUGAAAUAAAAUAUAGAUGAAAUAAAAUCUAGAUAAAAUAAGAUUAGAUUGGAUGAAAUAAAAUCUAGAUGAAAUAAAAUCUGGAUAAGAUAAGAUUUGAUAAAAUAAAAUUGUUUGCUCUCUUCAAGUCCAAGCCCAAUUCCGGAUUCAAUCCCAAUUGCUUAUAAUUCUCCUGAAAUUAAAUUAAAAACACAAAAUUAGUCAAGUAGGCCUAAAUGAUAAAAGUGCAUAAUUAAUUUGAUAAUUAAGGCUAAUCAGUAAUUAAAAUGGUGACAAAAAAGGUUAAGAAAUAGGAGAAAAUAAUGACACAUCAAAUCCCCCCACACUUAGCCUUUUGCACUCCUGGGCAAAAUCAAAAAGCAAAGCAAGGAACAAAUCCAGAGACAUUAAAGAGAAACAAACAAACACAAAAACAAUUACACAUUUCUCAAUGAAUAUCAAGGAAUGAAAGGAAUGGGCAACAUCCAACACGUAGAGAGUUAAAGAAUCAAGACAGUCAUGAAAAUCAUCCAAGCAUCUCAAACAUGGCAAGAUAGUCAAUCAGCUCAAGAAUGAAAAGUGAUAAAGCCUCAUCAUAAGAUAUGCACUCUAUCUCUCAAGUGUGUAGGCUACUGUUUACACUCAAAGCACCCAUGAAAACAAACACCACAUAGACUUGGCAAGACUCUAAAAUUGACAACCACAUCACAAACACAUGCAUAUGAGGAUCAAAAGGUCUUUUAAGGUUGUAAUGGGGCCAAGGACAAGGUAGAGGAAAGUAUGGGAUAAGUAGCUAAAACCCAAAGGAAUAGAGGAGCAAUGGGGAAUAAGUGAGAACAAAGAAAAAGUAGUAAACCCCAAAACCAAAAUUAAAAAUUAAGCAUAAAAAGUAAACCCAAAACAAAGUCAACCAAGUCCUCAAACCAAUCCGAGUCUUCAAAUCAAGACCUCAUGUAUUCAACUUCAUUCUUUUUCUGUUUUUUUUUUCAUUUUUUUUUUCAUUUUUUUUGAACGUGAACAGUAGCAAUUGAAAGCAAUUAAAAAAUAAAGCAACAAUUAGGCAAUAUAUGUAUAUACAUCAAGCAUGGCCAAAAUACAUCAUCAAGCAUGGCCAACAAAAACAUAUCAUCCAAUGAAACAUACCCCCCACACUUAUUCCCAAAACAUUUCCAAAGCUCUAAAAUUCCUUAAGGGUAGGGUGAGAUCAUGGUUUUUCACUUAAGGCUUGUAAUGAGCUUCAAAACAAAGAAAGGGGAACAUAGGCUCAAAGGGGCUAUCAAAGGAAUUAAUUCAAGGUAGGCUCAUUUGGCUAAAGGCUUAUAAGAACAAAAUGCCUAAAUCAUCUCCCAACAUGCGUGUGAAGCAAGAAGUAUCAACAAGAGUCAAGCCAAGGCUACUGUGCAAGCAAUCAAUGGGGAAAAACACACCGAAUAAAAUAGAUGAUGAUGGCUCAAAUUCUCACCAAGGGUAAAUCUAUCACUUCUAAUUCGAACUUUCAAAACUAACUUGACAUGCAGAGAAAAACAAGGAUUUCAAUUCACAAAAUGCCAAGAAACUCCUAUUUCAAAAAUAAUUACCCAUUACCUGUACAUAACCUAUAAUUCAAAGAGAAACAUGCAAUGUUGUACAUAAAACAUAAAACCAAAAUAAAAAAAUAAACCUAGAAAACCUAAAAAAAAAUUAAACUAGAAAACCCAAAAAAUUUAAUCUAGAAUACCCAACAAAAUCAACAAAAUUAAAGAACAAUCUCCCCCCCCCCACACUUAAACAACACAUUGUCCUUAAUGUAGCACAAUCACAAGAUCAAGAUCAAUCAAAACAAUCAAUAAAAUUGGACAAGUGCAAUAAAAGUAAAGAAGGAGACAGAAAAAAAAGAAAACUCCCUAAGUCAUGGCAGAAGAGAAGUAGGGUGAAGUAAGUUGGUCUCCUCCACCACUACAUCCACUAAGGAGGGAUUUGUGAGGAAUGGUUUCAGCCGGUCUCCAUUGACCUUGAAGCUCUUAUUUGUGGAUUCACUUUUGAUCUUAACUAUACCAUAAGGAAAAACAUUAGUCACCACAAAAGGACCAAUCCACUUUUACCUCAACUUACCACUCAUGAGUCCGAGCCUAGAGUUAUACAAUAAAACUUUCUGUCCAACCACGAAGUCCUUAUUAGCUAUCAAGAUGUCAUGGAACUUCUUGGUCUUCUCCUUGUAGAAUUUGGAAUUCUCAUAGGCUUCUAAAUGGAUCUCAUCUAGCUCACUUAGUUGCAACUUCCUUUCCUCUCCAGCCUGAUCAAUAGAGAAGUUGCAGGUCUUUACAACCCAGUAGGAUUUGUGCUCUAUCUCUACAGGAGGAUGACAUGCCUUGCCAAAGACAACCCGAUAAGGAGAUAUUCCUAUGGGUGCUUUGUAGGUAGUCCUAUGCGCCCAAAGAGCAUCAUCCAACUUGAUGCUCCAAUCUUUUCUGUUCGGCUACACAAUCUUCUCCAUGAUCCUUUUUAUCUCCCUGUUUGAAAUCUUAGCCUGCCCAUUAGUUUGGGGGUGGUAAGGUGUGGAAAUUCUGUGCAUGACCCCAUACUUUUUGAGCAAGGCAUACAUGGAUCUGUUACAAAAAAUGGGUGCCUUGACCACUAACGAUGGCUCUAGGGACUCCAAACCUACAAAACAUAUUAGAUCUAACAAAAUCCACAAAAACCUUAGCAUCGUUAGUUCUGGUGGGUUUGGCUUCCACCCAUUUUGAAACAUAAUCAACAGCAAGGAGAAUAUAAACAAAACCAAAAGAGACAGGGAAAGGCCCCAUAAAAUCUAUACCCCAGACAUUAAACACCUCACAGAAUAACAUGGGUUGUUGAGGCAUUUGCUGUCUCCAUGAAAGUGAGCUGCCUGCUUUCUAACAAGGCUCACAAGUGCUACAGAUUCUCCACGCAUCCUUGAAGAUGGUGGGCCAAUAGAAACCGCAGUCAAGCACCUUGCGAGUUGUCCUUUGUAUGCCAAGAUGGCCACCUGAUGCGGAAGAAUGACAAAAUUGCAGGAUUGAGUCAAUCUCAUGGUCUGAAAUGCAUCUCCUAAUAACCUGGUCACUGCACAACUUCCACAAAUAGGAGUCAUCCCAAAUAUAAUGCUUAGCAUCUCUCUUAAUUUUAUCAUUUUGAGCUUUAGAUGCUAAGGGAGGAAAAACAGAAGCAACCAAAUAAUUCACAACAUUAGCAAACCAAGGAGUGGGGAAGGAAUCAGAAAUACUAUACAGAAUGUACAAAUGGUCAUCCAGAAAAUCAUCCCGAAUGGGUGAGUCCUCAGAUGCACGCUCAAUCCUUCUCAGGUGGUCAGCCAUGAGGUUCUGUGCACCACUCCGAUCACGGAUCUCCAAAUCAAACUCUUGGAGCCAAAGCAUCCAUCUGAUCAAUCUAGGCUUUGAUUCAACCUUCUUCAACAGGUACUUCAGAGCUGCAUGGUCAGUAUAAACAAUAACAUGAGUACCAAGCAAAUAUGAACCAAAUUUUUCAAAAGCAAAAACUAUCGCUAAUAGCUCUUUCUCUGUGGUAGUGUAAUUUGCUUGAGCAGCAUCCAAAGUUCUAGAAGCGUAGUAGAUCACCCGAGGUAGCUUAUCAAUCUUUUGAUCAAGGACAACCCCCAAUGCAUAAUUGGAUGCAUCACACAUUAACUCAAAUAGGGCUGUCCAAUUAGGUGCCUGAAUGAUAGGGGUGGUAGUCACCGCACGCUUGAGGCAAUCAAAAGCCUCUUUGCACCGGUCAUCAAAAUCAAACUCCACCUCCUUUUGCAGCAGAUUGGAUAGUGGAAGGGCCACUUUGCUAAAAUCCUUGAUAAAGCGCCUAUAAACCCUGCAUGACCAAGAAAAGAACGAACCUCUCGCACGCAAGAGGGGUAAGGAAAUUGUGAAAUAACAUCUGUUUUUGCAGGGUCUACCUCUAUGCCCCUACUGGAAAUGAUAUGCCCUAAAACUAUACCUUGUUCUACCAUGAAGUGACAUUUUUCAAAAUUCAGCACAAGGUUAGUUUCUAUGCAUCUACUAAGAACUCUAUCCAGACUAUCCAAACAUGUAUCAAAAGAGGAUCCAUAAACAGUAAAAUCAUCCAUAAACACCUUUAUACAAGUCUCUAAAAAAUCAUUGAAAAUGCUAGGCAUACACCACUGGAAGGUACCAGGGGCGUUGCAUAGGCCAAAGGGCAUCCUCCUAUAGGCAAAAGUGCCAAAGGGACAGGUGAAUAUGAUCUUUUCUUGACCCUUAGGAGCAAUAUGAAUUUGUAAAUAACCAGAAAAACCAUCAAGAAAACAGUAAUGAGACUUACCUGUCAAGCGCUCAAGCAUUUGAUCAAUGAAUAGCAAGGGAAAAUGAUCUUUUCUGGUUACCUGGUUCAGCCUCCUAUAAUCAAUGCAGACUCGCCAGCUGUUCUGCACUCUUAUGGGGAUAAGCUCAUCCCUCUCAUUCUUGAUCACUGUGAGGCUUGUCUUCUUAGGAACCACUUGGACUGGACUCAUCCACUGGCUGUCAGAAAUGGGGUAGAUGAUUCCAGCUUGUAAGAGCUUGGUCACUUCCUUUUUCACCAUAUCUAGAAUGACGGGGUUGAGUCACCACUGUGGCUGCCUCACUGGCUUAGCUCCAUCCUCAAAAAGUAUCCUAUGCAUGCAGGUAGAUGGGCUAAUACCAGGAAUGUCUGCUAAAGUCCAUCCAAUGGUCUUCUUGUGCUUCUUGAGCACUAGCAACAACUUCUCCUUUUGCUCAACAUCAAGGCAGGCGGAGAUGAUCACUGGAAAUUUUUUCUUGUCCUCCAAGUAAGCGUACUUGAGGGUUGCUGGUAAGGGCUUCAACUCUGGUGUGGGUGGUGGCUAAAUAGUGGGAGGAACCAGCGUAGGAGAAGAAGGAGGUUCCUCAACCUGUACCUCAUAAAGCAAGUCAGAAGUGUAUGUACUUCCUGCAACAUGGUUAGUGCUUUUUGACUCCAAAAAAUCAACAUCAAGAGGUACAACACCCAGAAAAUCAGAACCAGACUCAAAUUCAAAUUCACUCUCAGCGUAAAAGUCAGAUACAGGAUCAAAUUCAAACUUAGAUUCAGAUUCAAUGCAUAAGGAAUGACAAGUACGCAGACCAGAUAAAAAUGGAUGCUUCCUACCAUGAAGAAUAGAAUCAAAAUUCAAACAUAUAAUCAUCAACAAUAUGAUCAAUUAUCUCAGCAUGGAAAACAGAAUGAUCCUCAGAUGGAUGUUUCAUGGCAUCAAGAAUGUUAAAAUGAACAACAAUAUCACCAAAUUCCAUAGCCAAUUUGCCAGCAUAAACAUCUAUCUUGGUUCGGGCUGUUUUCAUAAAUGGCCUGCCUAAAAUAAUUGGAACUGAACGAUGGGAAAAUCCCUCUUCCAUAUUAAGAACAUAAAAAUCAACAGGAAAAAUAAGUUCACCAACCAGAACCAGCACAUCCUCUAUGAAACCUGUGGGGUAAGCAACACUUCUAUUUGCCAAAUGAAUCACCACAUCUGUAGAUUGCAAAGGUCCAAGAGAUAAAGAAUUGAAAAUGGACAGAGACAUGACACUAACUGAUGCUCCUAGAUCUAGCAUGGCAUUCUCAAAUUUAUUGUUCCCAAUAAUGCAAGGUAUACAGAAAGUACCUGGGUCCUUACAUUUCUCAGGAAUGUGAGGAACAGAUUUACCUAUCAAUGCUGACACAUUUCUGCCCAUGUAAUCCUUUCAUUGCCUUUGAGCUUCCUUUUGUGGGUGCACAGCUCCUUUAGAAACUUGGCAUAUCUUGGAAUCUGCUUGAUGGCAUCUAGCAGAGGUAUGUUCACCUCUACUUUCCUGAAGGUCUCCAAGAUCUCCUUUUCCGCUUCUUCCAUUUUUUGUUUGGAAUUGCUCUAGGUGGGAAUGGAAGAGGGAUAGGAGGCUGCGGUAAGUCAGAAUUACUAGAAGAAGGUCCACCUGCAUGAAAAUUUUUGUUAGGAAGCUUUCUCUUUUGUGCAACUAUCUCAUCCUCUUUUUCAGGUGUAGAAUGAAGCUUGACAGGUUCAGGUGCAGGUGUUGCUACUGGUGGAGGCACUUGAAUUUGGUUGCCAGACCUCAAGGUGAUGGCACUCACAUUUUUUGGGUUCUGCACAGUUUGUGAAGGCAAUUUGUCAUAAUUUUGGGACUGAGCUUGGUUCAACUGAGUAGCCAUCUGCCCCAUCUUAUUUGUUAGACUCUGAAUGGAGGCUCUUGUCUCUUGCUGAAAUUGCAUAUUCUGGAUGGUCAUUUGCCUCACUAACUCUUCUAAGGAAGGUUGAGGAGGAGCCUUAGUUGCUUGUUGUCUUUGUUAUGACUGCUGCUGUUGUAUUGGAGGAGGAACAUAUGGCUUGCUUGGACCAGGAGCAUUCUAGAAAGGAGGGACAUGCUGUUGUUGUUCUGGAGGACUUGCCCAUCUCAGAUUUGGAUGAUUUCUCCAACCUGGAUUGUAUCUGUUGCUUGAAAGAUCAUAAUUAUUCUGUUGUUGUUGGUUUUGCUGCUGAGGAGGUCUAUUAUAAAUGUUUGCAGCAUAAGCUUCAGGUUGCUUAUUGACUCCAGAUUGCUGCAAAGAAGGACAGAGAUCUGUAUGGUGAUCUGCAGAAGAACAUAGACUACAGACUCUUGCAACAGGUGCAAAUUUUUUAUUCAUGGCAAGCUGAGUUACUAGGUUGACCAAGGCAUCAAGUUUUCCCUCAAGCUUUUUAUUUUCAGUAGAUGAAGAUGAAUCUGUGGCCACCUCAUGGACUCCUCUAAGGACAAUAGCAUCAUUUCUUGCACUGAAUUGUUGGGAGUUCGAAACCAUCUUUUCAAUCAAAUUCCUAGCCUAAGCAGGAGUCAUAUCACCAAGAGCUCCACCACUGGCAGCAUCAAUCACACUCCUCUCCAUGUUGCUAAGUCCCUCAUAGAAAUAUUGAAGAAGGAGUUGCUCAGAAAUCUGGUGGUGAGGACAACUUGCACACAAUUUCUUGAAUCUUUCUCAGUACUCAUACAAGCUCUCUCCACUAAGUUUCCUGAUGCCUGAAAUGUCUUUUCUGAUGGCAUUGGUCCUAGAUGCAGGGAAGAAUUUCUCCAAGAACACCCUCUUAAGGUCAUCCCAGCUGAAAAUGGACCUGAGAGCAAGGUAGUAGAGCCAAUCUUUUGCCAUCCCCUCCAGAGAAUGAGGAAAAGCCUUUAGAAAGAUAUGAUCUUCUUGGACAUCAGGGGGCUUCAUGGUGGAACAAACAAUAUGGAAUUCCUUAAGAUGCUUAUAAGGAUCUUCACCUGCAAGACCAUGAAACUUGGGCAGCAAAUGUAUUAGUCCAGUCUUGAGAACAUAUGGAACACCCUCAUCUGGAUAUUGAAUGCACAAGCUUUCAUAAGUGAAAUUAAGUGCAACCAUCUCCCUAAGAGUCCUCUCAUGAGGUGGAGGUUGAGCCAUGUUCUCAGUAUGAAAAUUAGUAGUCAAAUGCUCAAAAUCAGAAUAUUCAGAAUCACCAGCAAUAGAAUACUCAGAAUGCUCAAAAUGCUCAUAAUGAUCAGGAUUCACACUAUGCCUAACUAAUCUAUGAAAGGUUCUAUCUAUUUCAGGAUCAAAGGGUUGUAAAUCACCUGGGUUGCCCCUAGUCAUGCACUAUAUGUAGCAAUUAAUGUGUUUUCAAAUAAGCACCAAGGGAGGGUUAAAACUACAACUAUAGUCAAAUGAUAUCCAAAUAAGCUGAAAUUUUGUGAGCAACACCCUAAAAUUAUGAAAAGAUAGCAUAAAAAAUUUCAUACAAAUAUUCAAAGUCUCACUAUGAAAACUACUUAAGCAAAGUUUAGAAAAAUAGGACAAUAAUACUUGAAAAAUAAAAUAACUUAGUAAACAGCUGAUUUUUAGAGUUUGGGAGACCCCAACCGGCUACAGUGGGUUGCCACACUCAGGGAAAUUUUUUUUCUACCCGAAAUGCAUGUAUAAUAAAAGUCAUUCUGAUACCCAGAGCAAAAGUUAUGGCCGUUUUAAGUUUUGCUAAAAACAAGUUCCCAAAAUUUUUGUCUCUCUCAAAUUCAACCACACCAAGUGCUCCUGGUAUUUUUCACACAAAAUAUGGAUCAAAAGAAACUACCACACAAAAAAUCAGCCAAAAAUAACAACUCUAACUAUCAAAACAAAAAUCGCUAAUUAAAUUGCAAAAUCAGUCGCUAAUUCCCAGUCGCUAAUCACUGUUCACAGCAAAACACCAACUGAAUCAGUUGCUAAACAGUCGCUAAAAAUAGUUGCUAAAUAGGGGACGCGACUGAAAUGCAAAACAGAACGCUACACAAAACAAAACAACUAAAUACUAUUAUGAACCUUUGGCCCACUGCUCCCCGGCAACGGCGCCAAAUUUGAUCGAGGUUGUACCUGAAUCAAAUAAACAUUAAAAAUACAGUAUCUAGGAAGUGAACCCAAGUCGUCUUCCAACGAGCAAUGAUCAACCAACGUUCAUAAUAGAUAGUGAUAAAACAAUAACAAAUUGGGGGGGGGGUUGUUUGUUUUUGUAAUUUAAACAGCAAGCAAAUUUUUAAUUAGAAAAUAACAGAAUUAAAACAUGUUGUUCCCCCUUGAUUCACAAGCAAGUCUCUUAUCCUAGGUUACGGGGAUUUAUCCCUAACUAGUUCAACCACUUAAUCCAACCCUAAAUUAAAUUACUAAGUGAAAAUUAACAUAAGGUUGUGAUUAUGUGAUUAAGCAACACAUACACCAAUUAAUCAUGAACAAAACUGAUCAUUAAGCAUGAACAUAAAUUAAGCAUAGAGACAAUUAAUCAAGCACUAAGCAUGCAUGGAUUAAUAGUGUCGCAACCUACCCUUCGGCGGGAGGGCGACGCGUGACUCGCGGGAGCGUGUUCCAAGAAAGGAAUAUGCGCGGAGUCGCCACCAACGUUUAUUUGAGAAAAACGUCGGAAAAACCGGAAAAGACGUGAUCUACGAACCCUAAGUGAAAAGUUCGGGAGUUGUAUUUACGCACGGGGAAGGUAUUACCACCCUACGCGUCUGUCACAAGAGACGACAACUUUUAAUCAAAUGUGCAAAUAUGACUUCAAUUUAUAUUCUUUUCCCUUUUUACGUUCUAAUGUCUUUUUUAUGUUUUUAUCUUUUUGUGGUCGACAAGGGCGUUUCCCUUUGCUCCUACGUAUUCCUCAAUUGUGAUGAGAAAAUCAGACCUACGUAGUUCUUUUGUGAACAAAGCGUUUUGGUUAAGUUAUUUUUUAUCCUUUUUUGCAAGAUAUGUUUUUAUUGAAUGAAAGGUCAUUUAAGGCGUUGGACCAUUAGACAAUCUUUCGAUUCUUUUGAAAAGUGAGAAAACAUUAAGGCAUUGGACCAUUAAUGAUUUCUUUAUUUUUGAAAGAGGUAACAAAGUUACAUAUUGAUUUUAGGCUUUUUAGAAAUCUACACUUAACCAAUAAAAGCGGAAAAGACCAUUUCAAGGCGUUGGACCUUUCAAAAUGGCUUUUUUAGGCGAUGACAAAAGUUUGGUUUAUGAAUUGAUUUUAGCCUUAGUUUCACUUUGGUUAUUAGUCGAUUCGAUUUAAGAAAGAGAAAUCCCAAAGAAAAACGUCCGAUUGAUUUUUUUGAUUUAUUUUACUAAAAGAUAUUUUUGAUUAUUAUAUUAUUAUUUUGCUUCUUUUUGGUUUCCAACGGGGUUACGGCAUGACCGAACGGUCGGAUUUCAUUUUAACAGAAAUUAACGGAUGUUACAAUUCAAAUGAUCGGUGGGAAUUUAUUUUAUUUUUGAUUAGGGAAGAAAAUGACUUAAGUAAAUGACUAAAGCACGUCAAAAGGGGGUACGGAAAGUAAAUGAAAUGAAAAUAAAAGCACGUGAAAACAAAUGAGGAUCACUAAGGGUACAUAAAAUGAAUUGAAAAGUUUGAUUUCGGGAACUUACCGGUUGAUGACCGAAGAACGACGAAGAACGGUUGAAAAUCUUCGCGAAAUCACCCACGGAAACGUUACGGAAGCGCCUUGGCUUGGAUUUUCUUCAUGGAAACAAUUUUUCUCACUAAUUUUAAGUGAAUCUUAGAUACCAGGAGGGUUGAACCUUUUUGUUCUUCCCUCCUUCCCCUAUUUAUAGGAAAAGGAAGGAGAUGCUUGCCACCCAGCUCGCCCAAGCGAGCUAGGUUGCUUCCUUCAGAAGCAACCGCCUUCUGGAGGAACAUCCUGGAAGGCCCAAGUGGGCCUGGUUGCUAUUUGAACCCCCAUUUUUACUAAAUACACCCCUGUCUUUUUUUUGGUGAUUCUUUUUCCGUAAAGUUACGAAAACUUACGAAUUUCGUAACGAUACUUGUUUUCUUUCCGUAAUGUUGCGGAACCUUACAGAUUACAUAAUCAUCCCUUUUUUGCCUUCCGGAACGUUACGAAAAUUUACGGAUUGCGCACUAACACUUCCUUUUAAUUUCCGGCAUGUCACGGAACUUCAUGGAUUGUGCUACAACGCUUUUCUUUUGGCUUCCGGCAUGUCUCGAAACUUCACAAAUUGCCUAACGAUGGGUGCCAAAUACCUCGAAGUGGUCAAACAAGGGUCGCAUCCCAACAACGGAUGGUCCCCGGACGAAAUUAGGGUAUGACAGUUGCCCCUCUUUACUUGUCUUUUAUUGGAGAUAAAAGGGAAGUAAAGAUAAGACACUAAUUUCGUUCGAGCGAAACACCAUUCGGCCAAUGAACCUCCCUGCCAGCGGAACCUGCAAAAAUUUGAAAAUGAUCAGUACUGACACAUCAUCCUGAUACUGUCGAAUAUGUUCCUCUUGGUUGAUACAAGACGCAGAAUGACCAUAAUUUGUCUCUGCGUUUUGUUGGACACGAUCGAGCCUGGGCGGCGAGACACAGAAUGACCAUAAUUUGUCUCUGCGUACCACCAGACAUGAUCGCCUCUGGAUGGCGAAAUGGUGCGCGGAAUGACCAUAAUUUGUCUCUGCCCACCUCUCGACUUACUGUCCCCGAAUGACAAAGGGCGUAGAAUCUGUCUCUGCGCGUUUACCACCCAACUUGUUGUUCCUGAAUGAUAAAGGGCACAGAAUUUGUCUAUGCGCGUUUAUCCACUCAGCUUGCUGCUCUUGAAUGAUAAAGGGCGCAGAAUUUGUCUAUGCGCGUUUAUCACCCAAUUUGUGAAAUCUGAAUGGCAAAGGGCGCAUAAUUCGUCUAUGCGCGUUUACCACUCGACUCGCUGCUCCUGAAUGAUAAAGGGCGCAGAAUCUGUCUCUGCGCGUUUACCACCUAACUUGUUGUUCCUGAAUGAUAAAGGGCACAUAAUUUUUCUAUGCGCGUUUAUCCACUCAGCUUGCUGCUCUUGAAUGAUAAAGGGCGCAUAAUUCGUCUAUGCGCGUUUAUCACCCGAUUUGCGAAAUCUGAAUGGCAAAGGGCGCAGAAUUUGUCUAUGCGCGUUUACCACUCGACUCGCUACUCCUGAAUGAUAAAGGGCGUAGAAUUUGUCUAUGUGCGUUUAUCACUCAUCGAGCAUGCAGAUAACCGCAUGUCAUCGAGCCUGCCGCCUCUGGAUGACAAAAGGCACAGAAGACGACGUUAGUCUCUGUGUGCUAUCAUACUUUGAGUCUUAUAGAUAGCAAAAGUAUUUUAAAAGUGCGGGACCAAAUGGUUCCCGCAUGUCAUCGGGCCCGCCGCCUCUGGAUGAAAAAAGGCGCAAAAGACGAUGUUAGUCUCUGCGUGCUAUCAUGCUUUGAAUCUUAUAGAUAGCAAAAGAAAGUGCGGGACCAAAUGGUUCUCGCAUGUCAUCGGGCCCGCCGCCUCUGGAUGACAAAAGGCGCAGAAGACGACGUUAGUCUCUGCGUGCUAUCAUGCUUUGAGUCUUAUAGAUAGCAAAAGAAAGUGCGAGACCAAAUGGUUCUCGCAUGUCAUCGGGCCCGCCGCCUCUGGAUGACAAAAGGCGCAGAAGACAACGUUAGUCUCUGCGUGCUAUCAUGCUUUGAGUCUUACAGAUAGCAAAAAGUUUAUACGGAUAACCGCUAGGGUAUUUCUGCUUGUCGCAUGACUCCAAGGUCAGUAUGACAGAGAUUGUGGGGCGACUGACAAAAGCGAGGCUCUUGCUCCUACGUAUCCUCAAUGAGGAACUCAGACCUAUGUAGUUCUGGAUAACUUGUGAGACUAAAAAUAGUCUCGGUGUUUUCUUCACUAUAAUGCGAACAUGCUUUAGUAAAGAGACAAGAGUUCCAACUAAUCAGAACAACAUAUGCUUCUUGGAUGAAAAACAAUGUGUCUACCGGGGAAGGGGAGUAUGCUGAUGAAAUCCUCUCAUAACCAUAAAUGAGAUUUUGGAUGUUAGCAUUUCAUUUCCAAAUGACCAUUUAGAGGAAACACUGGGUUCAACAAAAAUAGAAGAAAAUCACUCAAAGUGUAUCAAUCUCACACAGGUAAGUGUUUCAUCCUAAUUCCGAACCAUAGAUAUGCCAUGACUUGAUUUUGAAAAUCAUUUCCUAUCAAAUCAAAGAUUACAUGCGUGAUCAUGGAUCAAUAGGACUUUAUCUUGGGAAUGGUUUGUUUCUUUAUGGGAAUUUUUGGCUUUGAGUGUUCUUGGCCUUUUCCUUUUCUGUUUUUGUUUAGUGUGAGGUGAACAAGCCACCGACGCACAGGAUUUUGGUUGGCAAUCAAAGGGAGAGGACCACUUUAGGUCGUGGUUUCCUUUCUUUUCAUGUUUACUUUGGUGACAAUUCUGUAUUGUUCAGAUAUUGUCUGGUCCAAAGACCUUUCUGCAUAUUUCUUUUGUUUUCUUCCGAUCCUUGAUCGGGAAUUUUCUUUCCUUUUUUUGCUUUCUCCCACUCUUCGAUUGAUUGGGAAUUUUCCCUUUUUGCUUUCUUCUGAUUCUUUUGAUCGGGAAUUUUCUCCUUUUCUCUUCUUUUCUUUUUCUUUUUUUUGUUUUCUUUUAAGGGCAAGGUUUAUAGUGAGUUGGGACUUUGGCUCAAGGCUUGUAGAACGGAUGGACAUGAUAUAAGUCAGGGUGUUGGUCUGGUUCAGGGAUAAAAGGGAAUGUCCCACAUGACACAAAUGCAACAAUGAUGAUUUGGAAAUUUUAUGCAAAACUUGUCGUGCAUGCACCUAUGUGGACACUCAAGUGUCGAAAUUUUUUUGGUCAUGUGAUGCUAGGGCUCAUAAUUCAUUUUCUCUACUUUAGUCAACCCAGUGUUUCCAAAAUAUGUUCUUUUAUCAAUUUGUGCAUUCAUCCGAGUCUAUUUUGGGUGUUCAAAAAACUUUCACAGCAUUUACCCUUCAAAUGUGUACACACAUUUUUUUUUUCAAAAACUAGCUAUGAUCAGCGAAUUUUUUCCUUUAAAUAAAAGUUGGAAAUUAUCUCUUUUCACGAGCAUGUUGUUUUUUUAGCUAGACAACUUUUUAUUCUUAUUAUUUUCUUUUUUUUAUCAUUUUUUUAUUUCUUUUUCUUGUUUGUUUUUGUUUUUUCCUUUUUUUUUCAUGAGGUAUUUUGCUACCUAAACAUACAUAUAUAUAUUUUGUGAGGUAUUUUUGCUAUAUACAUGCAUAUCCAAGGUAUCUUGCUACCUAAACAUAUAUAUAUAUAUAUAUAUAUAUAUAUAUAUAUAUAUAUAUAUAUAUAUAUAUAUAUAUAUUGGUGAGGUAUCUUUUUGCUACAUACAUGCAUAUCUAAGGUAUCUUGCUACCUAAACAUACAUAUAUAUAUAUAUUUUGUGAGGUAUGACUACCUUUCGAGCUUGUGCUUGUGUUAUUUAAAUUCCUAGGAUCAUGAGCAACUAGGCGCGUCCUACUACAAAAAGUUAUCAAAUAACAAGCAUAGAUUCAAAAGGUACUAGGUUGCCUCCUAGUAGCGCUUCUUUAACGUCUUGAGCUGGACCUAGUACUUUUGCUUACCUUUAACUUUGGACUUGGUUGCCUAUUGGUCGGCCAUGUGUCGUAGGCAAUACUCUAACCUUUUUGUGGAUGAGCUGAGGGGCUCUGGAGGUGGCGGCGGCCAUUUGUUGCCUGUUGCUGGCCAUCCCAGGCUGUUGUGGUGUCUCGCCCUCUGCCUGUCUGGGGGCGCAAUACUUCUUGAUGAAAGCUCAGUUAGUAGGAGGCCUGAUGACCUUGUUGGGGAUGACGGGCACUCCGUAGAACUGACAGAGGCCCGUAAUCAGAGCUGGAAACCCCAGGACCCUAUUGGACUUCUUUGGGUCCAUUGGGUGCCCUGCGUGCGCGAUCCUUGCAAACAAUGUAUGACAUCAAAAAUCAGUUAGAACCAUAUGCAUACUUACCUAUGUCGUAAUGGCAUGACCUUGCCGGGGGGUACGGGCACCCUGUAGGACUGAUAGAGGCCCAUAACCAAAGCUGGAGACCCAGGGCCCUGUUGGACUUCUUUGGGUCCACUAGGAGUCUUGUGGGCGCGACCGCUGCGAAUAGUAGAUGACAUUAGAAAUCAUUUGGAAAUAAUGCAUACCUACCUAUGUCAGGAUGACACAGACCAACUGAUACUUCCGCAGGGGGAGAUCGGCAUUACGGUCGUUGGGCAGAAUGUUGCUAAGUAGCAAUGUUAUACAUAUCUGUGUAAGAGUGGUCAUGUUGGUACGCACGAUCUGCACUUGUCUCUUUGCAGUGGCACGAGUGAAAUCUUGCCAUGGUAUGCAUAGUAACUACGUGAUAGCCUCCCUCUCUGGUUGUAUUCGCACAGUUGGCCCCCUCCAAUAUCAGGGAGGUGAGAACGCGUAGUCCUCUGAAGAAGAUAGGUACUAGUACCCAAGGGUCCACCCUUAUGAGAAAGCAAGAGAUCGACUCAUCGAGAGGGCCGGUCAUCCCAAAUUCACAAGAUUGGACAUUAGAUGUAGCAAAUCUAUGUAGUUAACAUGAUUUUUAGGGAUGCAGAUGCAUGCAACCUUUGUUGUGAAAUUUGGUAAAUGCGGACUUCAUAUGAAAUAAUGCAAUGUAAUGGAAAGUUGUACAAUGUUCAUGUCAUUCUUUCCUUGUUUUGUGAUUUUGAUUUUGAUUUAAUUAAAUUUUUUUUGGAAAACACAGAUUGAUUGUCCUUUUGGAAGAGGUGAUAAUUCAUGCAAGCUUAUCCUAUCUUUUGCAAAUCUUUCCGGGAACUCCCUCAGAGUAUAUGUUCCGUUUGAUUUAGUCACUUGACCAUUUUGGAGUGACGCUAAUGGAGCCGUUUGACGUUUAAUCAAUCCAUUGAAAUUCUAGGGUUUGUCCCCCCCUUUUUUUUGUUUAAACACAUCGACGGGUAAGAACUUUUGAUCUGCCCCUAUGUUCACUUGAGGCUCAUGCACGAUGCCCCUCAUUGCCCCAGUGUAAGGCUUUGAGGUACCAAUCGUUGUCUUUCGUCAUGACCUUGUAGAUGGGAACAUAUUGGGUGGGAACUUCUAAUCUGACCCUAGGUUCACUUGAGGUUCAUGCACGAUGCCCCUCAUUGCCCUAGUGUAGGGCUUUGAGGUAUCAAUCGUUGUCUUGUUUUCACAACCUUGUAGCAAGGAAGAACGAAAGAAGAGAUUGAUUCUCGAGAAAUAAUUGAAGGAUUUUUUUUCAGUUGAUGGAUUAAGUCAAAUGACUCCUAUUCUUGAUAACCCACUUCUCUCUAAAAAAGACAAACUUUCCAGAAUGAUAAAAUGAGGUCACAUGAACGUCUAUAUUUUUACUUGAAAACACAGUCAAUCAAAUUCUUUUUUUAUUUUUAUUUUGAAACUUAUUUUUGCUUUACUUGUCGUUUUACGGCACCCUCACCAAAUGUGUAGCACGAGUAAUUUCUAAUUGAACGGUCUUGGAAGUCCAAACUUAGGAGCGCAGGUCGCUUUGAGCAAACAAACCAACGGCUUACACUCACAUUCCGGUGGAAGUUGAAUAAGCAAAGAUGUGUUUGUGAGAGGAUGAGAGAGACAAGGAUGUCCAAUUAAUCCAUUUUAGCAUUGUAACUGUGGUUUACAAUAAUGGCAUAAACUUGGAAAUCCUGAUGAGUCAUUAGAGACACCUAACAACAGCUUUCAAAAUUGCCCCAUGUGUGGUGUCGCUUGUCAAUGUCGAGACCCAUACGCGAUUCUUCUCAAAUUUCAGCCAGCCCACAUCAAUUAGACUUUGCACCUUACGCUUCAGGGUCAUAUAAUGCUCAAUGGAAUGCCCCAGGGCUCCUCCAUGAUAAGCACACGUUGCGUUCGAGUCGUAUCCUUAGAAAAAUGGAGGUUGAGGAAACCUAGGAGGGGUUAUGGCUACCAUUGCAUUAUCAAGUAGAUAUGGGAGCAAGUUAGCAUAUGACACCGAAAUUUGGGGUGAAUCCUAUAGGCUUUUCGCUGCAAAAUUCAUUUCUUGGUUAGUGUUUUGGUUUGUGCUAAAGGUGGUGUUUAGCAUUGGUUGUGUGGUAGGUGGGUUUUGUGGUUGAUUUAGGGAUGGUCUUUGUGGAUAACUGGGUGGUAGGUAAGGAGAAGGGUUGUUAUUGGCUGAGUAAUGACAUUGUUGGGUUGGUGGGAAACUUGGCCGUAUAGGAAUGGCAGCCGCAGCAUGGGUUUGUUCUUCAUUCUCACCCUCUUUAUUUGCCCCAGUUUUCUCAUUCAUCCAAGCAGGAUGAUUAAAUUUGCCUCUUUUCAGACCCACUUUGAUCCUUUCGCUGGCGAAGACCAAAUCUGUAAAACUUGAAGAUGUGUAACCCACCAUUUUUCAUAGUAGAACACCGGUAAUGUGUCUACUAUCAUUGUGAUAAUCUCUUUCUCUAUUAUUGGGGGCGCUACUUGAGCUGCCAGAUCCCUCCACCUCUGGUCAUAUUCCUUGAAGGAUUCAUGCUCUUCUUUGCUCAUGUUCUAUAGUUGCAUCCUAUCCGAAGCCAUAUCAGAAUUGUACUGAUACUGCUUAACGAAGGCAACCAUUAGGUCCCUCCAAGAAUGGACUCGGGAAGGUUCCAAGUUAGCGUACCAGGUAAUAGCUACCCCAGUAAGACUUUCUUGGAAGAAAUGUAUCAGUAGUUCCUCAUCUUUUGCGUAUGCCCCCAUCUUCUGACAAUACAUCUUUAGAUGUUUCUUGGGGCAAGUAGUCCCCUUGUACUUGUCAAAGUCCGACACCUUGAACUUGGGAAUAACCAUGUUCGGGUACUAGGAACAACUCUUCUAGGUUAGCAAAGGCAUAAUCUUCGCCUCCUUCAAUGCCCUUGAGCCUUUCCUCUAUAUGAUCCAACUUUCCCUUUUCAGCCAUAGCAGGAGGGGCUCUUCCCAUCGCAAAAUGCAAGGGUUGUGGUUAUGGGCGAAACUGAGGGCCCUUCAAAGUGUUUGGCAUGGGUAUACCACCAACUGCUUGCCCUUCAGUGGCAUAUCCGAGGCAAGGCUCAAAGUCCGCUAGAUUGUGGUGGGGCAUUUCAUGUGUCUCCCCCACGGUUUAAAAGACAUGUGCAUGAUGAGGUUGUCGGCUUUCAAUGAGUAUGGGAGCGGAGUUAUUGACAUCCUCAUUGGGAAUGUAUGCCACAUUGGGUGGUGUAUAGUUAGGAGGCAAGCCAUACGGUGGGAAGGCAUGCUUGUUUUGAAUUUGCGCAUAAUGGGGGGCCGCCCGUACUUCCCAAAUCUUUGCCUACCAUAUCUAAGGUUGGAUGAUUCAUUUGGUUAAGGCCAGAUGGGGGCAUUGGGUUCACCUUAGCAAUAGCGCUGGUAGCGGCAACCGUAACCCCAUUGGCUUCCAUUAUCUUCUUCAUGCUCAUCAUGGCCUCCAUCAUUGUGGCCAUUUGCUCUUUCAUGGCCUCCAUGUCGGCCUUCAUUUGCUUCUGCGCCUCCUCUACUUUACCCAUUACUCUAGCUCUAGCACGGGUUUGGUAAGGGCACCCUAAAGCAUGUUCUUUUCUUUUUUAUAACAAUGAUUAAGUUCGUUUUUCUUUUUUCAAGGAAAGAAUGUAAUGAACAAUGCAACCAAUGAAAAGCAUGGAUGUAUGUGAAUGAUGCACAGUUGAAGUAUUGCGAAUUUUUAUGCAGGACAUGGGGUUGAAUCAAUUUAGAUUUUCAACAUGGUCCAUGACAUCUUUGUCAAGGUGAAACUGGAAGUAACAAGGACAUCAAUAGUCCUAAAUGUGUUUGGCAGUAGACGAAGCAGUGAUGUAACUCGAUUCAUCUUUUGCCCCAAUUUUUGCAAGAUGGUUACUUCCAUACUUCAACUUGACUUGAUGAACUUUUUUCGAAAAAGCAUGAGCUUAAUUCAACCCUAUAAUCCAAGGAAUGGCAAUUCUGAUUGCCAAUACUUCAACAACCUUUCAUAGGGAUGAAUGACUCAGGCAUACUUUAAGCUAUGCAUGGAAAAUGUAAUUAUGAAAUUGAGAUGCCUGAAGAAACAUCAUUUCCUAGUUAACCAUGCAUUAGGUACCAUGUUCACUCAUUUUGUUUUUAAGUGAAACGGGUUUAUGAUCCCAACAUGGUUGGCUCAUGAUCCCAACAUGGUUGGCAUCAUGAAUUUUCAUGCUUCCCUUUUUGUUUUUGUUUUGUAGAGGAAAAUGCAAGGAUCAUGCAUGAGCGAACAUGAAAACAAAAGGUAUGCAAUUUGUAGAACAAAAAGUAUGUUGAACGCAUAUGCAUGAUGAUGCAAUGACUCAUGCAAAAUGUGAGGCUGGAAUAUGAUAACGGACAAUUGCAGGAACGAUAUGUUCAUUAUGAUGCCAUGAAGAGAUGUUUAUGUGAUGCAUGAUAUGAAUGCAUGGUAGAGAUAAAAUGCGGGAGUGAUUUGAUUUGCACUGAUCUUUGGAGUAAAAACGCGGGAUAAACUCAUUUUAUUCAGAAAGUUUAUAACUAGUCAAGAUCUAAGCGACAAUACAAACUUCCUAGCGGUUUCUAAUUAUAUGAGCCAUUAAGUCUAUCAUAUGCUGACAAUAGCUGAGAAGUCCGUGGAUCUCCUUGGGGGCGGAGUAGGUGUCCGCCAUUGCUUUAGCCUUGGCUAGCAAUCGGGGAAGUUCUUGACUCUCGUUCAAGGUAAGAGCGAAUCGGUCCAUCCACAUUGUUGCUUCUUGACGUAACGAGUCGAUCACCCUUCCUCUAGCCUCCUUUUCUGCGUACACUCGGGCAUACUCGUCUGCCACUUUGUGCUCGUGGGCCAUGGCUAGAUUUAAUUCUUCUUGGUACUUGCUGACGAUAGCUAACAUGUUGGUCUCUGUCUCGCAUAACCACUGAGACAGGUUUCUUUUGGACUUUGAGCAAACCUUCAACUCAUCUUUCAAGAUCAAACUAUCUACUUAUGAUUGGUCCUUUUCCUCUCUUCGGAGUUUAAGCUCGCUAUUGUUGCCCCACAGAGCCCCUCGAAACUUGUUCCGACCGUGCUCUUCCCUACGAGCCCUCUUGGUUUCUUGUUCCAAGGCUUUCGUGUUAGCUAUAUUUAUAUCUCUCAGUUCGGCAUUUUCCUUUCGGAUUUUAAGAGCUGCUGAUUUGAACCUUUCUUUGACUGUUUGAGCUUGCUCGAGUUCUGUCCGAAGGGCCUGCACCUCUUCGUCUUCCUCCGGUGCCUCAACUUCCUCCCUUUAUGCGGUUCUCAAACUCAAGAGCCAAUCGAAACCUUGCACGUGGGCUCUCAACCACUUACGGUAGCCACCGAUGGGCCCAUUGUUACUGCCCCUGAGUUCUUUGUCCUUCUUUCGCACCACCUCCCAUGCCUUGCGGACCUUCUGAAGCAUCUCCACAUUGGUCUUAUUGAAACCUCGUGAAAUGACGGGCGCGAUCUCUUCCUCUAGUGGUGCCCCUCUCAUAGGAUAGCCAAGUUGUCUUAUAGCAAGAACGGGAUUGUAACUGAUGCAACCCCUCAUCCCCAUCAAGGGAACAUUCGGAAAUCCUCCACACAAAAUAAGAACUCCGGUUCUUCCUUCUUUCCAUCGAGGGAACCAGUUGAUAGACGCUCCUUCUUUGUUUGCUAAGAGUUGGUCCCAAUUUGCGCCUCCUUUCUCUAUGCAUGAAUGGUGACCUUCUAGCGGGCAAGCAUGCCUCACCUCUUGGUGAAAAAGGUGUGAAACCAACCAUAGAUAAAGAGCUGGAGUACAACAAACAAUCCUCGUACUGCUCUUCUCACAUCUUCGGCCGAAGGUGUCAUAUAGGUCGGCUAAUAUAGCGAUGUCGCACCCUACCCUUCGAUGGGAGGGCGACGCGUGACUCGUGGGAGCGUGUUCCAAGAAAGGAAUACAAGCGAAGUCGCCACCAACUUUUAUUUGAGGAAAACAUCAGAAAAACCAGAAAAGACGUGAUCUACGAACUUUAAGUGAAAGGUUCGAGAGUUGUAUUUAUGCACGGGGAAGGUAUUAGCACCCCACGCGUCCGUCAUAAGAGAUGGCAGCCUUUAAUUAAAUGUGCAAACAUGACUUCAAUUUUAUGUUCCCUUUUACGUCUUUAUUUCUUUUUAUAUUUUUUAUCUUUUUGCGGUCGACGAGGGUGUUUCCCUUGCUCCUACGUAUUCCUUAAUUGCGAUAAGGAAAUCAGACCUACGUAGUUCUUUGUGAACAAAGUGUUUGGUUAAGUUGUUUUUAUCCUUUUUGCAAAAAAGUGUUUUUAUUGAAUGAAAGGUCAUUUAAGGCGUUGGACCAUCAAACAAUCUUUCGAUUCUUUUGAAAAGAGAGAAGACAUUAAGGCAUUGGACCAUUUAACGAUCUCUUUAUUUUUGAAAGAGGUAAUAAAGUUACAUGUUGAUUUUAGGCCUUUAGAAAUCUACCCUUAACCAAUAAAAGCGGAAAAAACCACUUCAAGGCGUUUGGACCUUUGAAAAUGGCUUUUUAGGUGAUAACAAAAGUUUGGUUUGUAAAUUGAUUUUAGCCUUAGUUUCACUUUGGUUAUUAAUCGAUUCGAUUAAGAAAGAAAAAUCCCAACGAAAACAUCCGAUUGAUUUUUUUGUUCUAUUUUACUAAAAGAUAUUUUUGAUUAUUAUAUUAUUAUUUUACCUCUUUUUGGUUUCCAACGUGGUUACGGCAUGACCGAACGGUCGGAUUUCAUUUUAACAGAAAUUAAUGGAUAUUACAAUUCAAAUGAUCGGUGGAAAUUUAUUUUAUUUUUUGAUUAGGCGAGAAAAUAACUUAAGUAAAUGACUAAAGCACGUCAAAAGGGGGUACGAAAAGUAAAUUAAAUGAAAAUAAAAGCAUGUGAAAACAAAUGAGGACCACUAAGGGUACAUAGAAUGAAUUGAAAAGUUUGAUUUCGGGAACUUACCGAUUGAAGACCGAAGAACGAUGAAGAACGAACAAAGAACGUCGAAGAAUGGCUGAAAAUCUUCGCGAAAUCACCCACGGAAAUGUUACGGAAGCGCCUCGACUUGGAUUUUCUUCACGAAAAUAAUUUUUUUCACUAAUUUCAAGUGAUUCUCGAAUUACCAGAAGGGCUGAACAUUUUUUCCCUUCACUUCUCCCCCUAUUUAUAGGAAAAUGGGGGAGAAGCUUGCCACCCAGCUCGCCCAUGCGAGCUCAGCUCGCCUAGGUGAGCUAGGUUGCUUCCUCCAGAAGCAACCGCCUUCUGAAGGAAUUUUCUAGAAGGCCCAAGUUGGCCUGGUUGCUAUUUGCACCCCUAUUUUUACUAAAUACACCCCUUUCUCUUUUUUGGUGAUUCUUUUUUUCGUAAUGUUACGAAACUUUACGAAUUUCGGAACGAUGCUUGUUUUCUUUCCGUAAUGUUACGAAACCUUACGGAUUACGUAAUCAUCCCUUUUUUUCCUCCGGAACGUUACGAAACUUUACGGAUUGCGCACUAACACUUCCUCUUAAUUCCCGGCAUGUCACAGAACUUCACGGAUUGUGCUACAAUGCUUUCUUUUGACUUCCGGCAUGUCACGAAACUUCACGAAUUGCCUAACGAUGGGUGCCAAGUACCUCAAAGUGGUCAAACGAGGGUCGUAUCCCAACAACGGAUGGUCCCUGGACAAAAUUAGGGUAUGACAGUUGCCCCUCUUUACUUGUCUUUUAUUGGAGAUAAAAGGGAAGUAAAGAUAAGACACUAAUUUUGUUUGAGCGAAACAACAUUCAGCCAGUGAACCUCCCUGCCAGCGGAACCUGCAAAAAAUUGAAAAUGAUCAGUACCGACACAUCAUCCUGAUACUGUCGAAUUUGUUCCUCUCAGUUGAUACAAGACGCAGAAUGACCAUAAUUUGUCUCUGCGUUUUGUUGGAAACGAUCGAGCCUGGCCAGCGAGAUACAGAAUGACCAUAAUUUGUCUCUGCAUGCCACCGGACACGAUCGCCCGUUUUUGAAUGACAAAGGGCGCAAAAUUUGUCUCUGCGCGUUUAUCACCCAACUCGCGAAAUCUGAAUGACAAAGGGCGCAAAAUCCGUCUCCGCGCAUUUAUCAGCCGCCUCGCUGCUCCUGAAUGAUAAAGGGCGUAGAAUCUAUCUCUGCGUGUUUACCCACUCAGCUUGUUGUUCCUGAAUGAUAAAGGGCGCAGAAUCUGUCUCUGCGCGUUUACCCACUCAGCUUGUUGUUUCUGAAUGAUAAAGGGCACAAAAUCUGUCUCUGCGUGUUUACCCACUCAGCUUGUUUUUCCUGAAUGAUAAAGGGCGCAGAAUCUAUCUCUGCACGUUUACCCACUCAGCUUGUUGUUCCUGAAUGAUAAAGGGCACAGAAUCUGUCUCUGCGCGUUUACCCACUCAGGUUGCUAUCAUGCUUUGAGUCUUAUAGAUAGCAAAAGAAAUUUUUAACGGAUAACCACUCGGGUAUCUCCGCAUGUCAAGUGACUCCAGUGUCAGUAUGACAGAAAUUGUCUGCGCGGAAGAUGAUGUAAAUCUCCGCGUGUCAACGGGCUUGUCGGCCGCGAUUGACAAAGGUUGCAGAAGACGACGUUAGUCUCUAUGUGCUAUCAUGCUUUGAGUCUUAGAGAUAGCAAAAGAAAGUUUAAACGGAUAACCAGUCGGGUAUCUCCACAUGUCAAGUGACUCUAGUGUCAGUAUGACAGAAAUUGUCUGCGCGGAAGAUGACGUAAAUCUCCGCGUGUCAACGGACUUGUUGGCCGCGAUUGAUAAAGGGUGCAGAAGACGACGUUAGUCUCUGCGUGCUAUCAUGCUUUGAGUCUUAGAGAUAGCAAAAGAAAGUUUAAACGAAUAACCACUCGGGUAUCUCCACAUGCCAAGUGACUCCAGUGUCAGUAUGACAGAAAUUGUCUGCGUGGAAGAUGACGUAAAUCUCCGCGUGUCAACAGGCUUGUUGGUCACGAUUGACAAAGGGUGCAGAAGACGACGUUAGUCUCUGCGUGCUAUCAUGCUUUGAUUCUUAAAGAUAGCAAAAGAAGGUUUAAACGGAUAACCACUCGGGUAUCUCCGCAUGUCAAGUGACCCCAGUGUCAGUAUGACGAAAAUUGUGGGGGCGGCCGACAAAAGCAAGGCUCUUGCUCCUACGUAUCCUCAACGAGGAACUCAGACUUAUGUAGUUCUGGAUAACUUUUGAGACUAAAAAUAGUCUCGGUGUUUUCUUCACUAAAAUCACGAACAUGCUUUAGUAAAGAGAGAAAACUUUCAACUAAUCAGAGCAACAUAUGCUUUUGGGAUGAAAAACAAUGUGUCUACCAGGGAAGGGGAGUAUGCUGAUGAAAUCUUCUCAUAACCACAAAUGAGAUUUUGGAUGUUAGCAUUUCAUUUCUAAAUGACCAUUUAGAGGAAACACUGGGUUCAACAAAAAUAGAAGAAAAUCACUCAAAGUGUAUCAAUCUCACACAGGUAAGUGUUUCAUCCUAAUUCCGAACCAUAGGUAUGUCAUGACUUGAUUUUGCAAAUCAUUUCCUAUCAAAUGAAAGACUACAUGCAUGAUCAUGGAUCAAUAGGACUUUUUCUUGGGAAUGGGUUCAUUUUGGUGGGAAAUUUGGCUUUGAGUGUUUUUGGCCUUUUCUUUUCAGUUUUUGUUUAGCGCGAGGUGAACAAGUCACCGACGCACAGGAUUUUGGUUGGUAAGCAAAGGGAGAGGACCACUUUAGGUCGUGGUUUCUUUUCUUUUCAUGUUUUCUUGGUGACAAUUUUGUAUUGUUUAGAUAUUGAUUGGUCCAAAAACCUUUCUGCAUGUUUCUUCUAUUUUCUUCCGAUCUUUGAUCGGGGAUUUUCUUUCCUUUUUGCUUUCCCCCUUUCUUUGAUUGGGGAUUUUCUCUUUUUGCUUCCCUUUUUUUUGUUUUUUUUUCAAGGGCAAGGUUUAUGGUAAAUUGGGAUUUUGGCUCAAGGCUUGUAGCACGGCUGGAUAUGAUAUAUGUCAGGGUUUGGUUUGGUUCAAAGAUAAAAAGGGGAUGUCCCACAUUAUUUCCAUGACAUAAAUGCAAUAAUGAUGAUUUGGAAAUUUUAUGCAAAACUAGUCAUGCAUGGACCUAUGUGGACACUCAAGUGUCAAACUUUUAUGGUCAUGUGAUGCUAGGACUCAAGAUUCAUUUCCUCUAUUUUAGUCAACCCAGUGUUUCCAAAAAUAUACUCUUUUAUCAAUUUGUGCAUUCAUCCGAGUCUAUCUUGGGUGUUCGGAAAAAUUUUCACAGCAUUUACCCUUCAAAUUACACACACAUUUUUUUCAAAAACUGGUUAUGAUUAGUGAAUUCUUUCAAAGAAAAGUUGGAAAUUAUCUCUUUUCACAAGCAUGUUGUUUUUUAGCCAGACAACUUUUUAUUUUUAUCAUUUUCUUUUUUCCUUCUUUUUCUUUUCUUACUUACUCUCUUUUCCUUUUUCUCCCUUUUUUAUUUUUUAGUUAUUUAUCAUUUGUUCAUUUCCUCUUCUUUCUUUUUUUUCUCUUUUUCUCUCUGAAAAAGUCAUGCAGACGAGGGCGCACACUACCUACUCACGUCUAACCACGAGGUGAACGAGAAACGCAUGAAAAUGGUAAGUCGCAAAACGGUGACGAAAUAACUGAGAGCCAUAACGCCAAAAAUUUCUAACAAAAACGAGCAAUAAUGAUAGUAACGUUAGUAACCAUAUGAACAAAACAGAAAAUAGUAAUGUCAAUAGCAAUAUGGGCAAUCACAUAAAACGUUAAUAGCAAACUAAACAAAACAAAAACAGAUAUGUCAAAAGAUGUGGUGACCUCGGUCACGUGGCUCCACUCCCUCCCAAGAAAUCGAGCAAAUCCGUCAUCUCCUCGUCCAUGCGGGCCUCCUCUCCAUCGCCGGGAGCCUCUGCGGGCGCCUCCCUUGCAUGGGCCUCAGGCCAAUCUCCGGGCCAUGCGACCUCAGCCCUAAACUGAUCUGGAGUAGGGCACGCAAAAGAAGCGAAACCCUGGUGAUCGAGGCUGUACCCGAAUCAAAUAAACAUGAAAAUGCAGUAACUAGGGAGUGAUCCUAGGUCAUUUCCCAACGAGCAGUAACAAACCAAAUGUUCAUAAUAUACUUGCAGUAACAGUAACAAUAACGAUUGGGGGGGGGGGGGGUUUGUUUGUUUUGUGAUUAAAGGAGCAGAACAAGUAAACUGGAAUACGAAACUAAUAAUAUUAAAAAUGGGUUGUUUCCUCUGAUUCAGAAGCCAUUCUUUUAUCCUGGGUUAUGGAGAAUUCAUCCCUAACAGUAACCACUUAAUCCAACCCUAUUUCAAUUUACUAAGCGAAAAUCAACCUAGGGUUGUCAAUACGUGAUUAGGCACCACAUACACCAGUUAGCCCUUCGUCCAUUAAGCAUGAACGCAAGUUAGGCUCAGAGGCAAUUAAUCGAACACGAAGCGUGCAUUGAUUAAUGUUCACGAAUUUGGGUUAACUGGUGAAGGGAAAACUGCCAG